UCUCUCUCUCUCUCUCUCUCCUUUGAGUGUUUCGGCGAUGAGUAUGAAUGUGUAGGGAUUUUAGGGUAGAUGAUGGAGGAUGGAUGAUGGGUAAUGGAUCCCUUCAACAAUGACCUAAACUCCCUAUUUAUAAACCUCCUAGAAAUCCUACCUAAGGAAUAAUUACAAUUGUUAUAAAAAUAGGAUUCCUUCUAAAAUAAAGUCUUCUUUAUUUCUCCUUGUUUGACUUGAUAAGACUUGCACCAUCUUGAACUAGGAAAUUUGACAACAUUCCUUGCAACAAAAGGAAUGACUUGGCUUCUUUUUAGUUGAUCUUCAUCUACUUGCCUUUUUUUUAGCACACUUUCUCCUAUUUCACAAUUCCUUCACAAAUCUCACAAAACUAAUUAAAAACAACCAAUUUAAACCAAGAAAUUAAUAAAUAAAUAAGCAAAGGGGGCAUAAAAUAUAUAUAAAAUAUAGACUUAUCAAAUACCCCCAAAUCUAUCUUUUGCUAGUCCUCGAGCAAAACUGAAAAUCAAAAAUAAAUUAAAACAAACUAACUAAACUAAACCACUUUCGCAGGUAAUCUCGAUGGCACUUAGCAUGUGCCACAAGCCUUUAAACCUCUAGGUGUCCCUAGUAGGAGGAGUUGUGUCUCCUGAGGGUUUACCAGUCACGACACCCACAAACACUCCUUGCAAAACAAAUUCGUUAAAGCAAUACUUCCAACAAACUAAUAAUAACCAAUGAAUGCCAAUCACAAUUAAAAAACUAAAGUUAUGCCACUACAAAUAAAAUGCACCAUAGUGUAAAGUGUUAAGCCAAAACUCCAAGCAUUCAAACAUAAAGAUAACCAUAUUCGGCAUGUGUACAAAUUCGUCUCAACUCUAGGCCUCACAGGAUAACUCUCAAUUUUCUCACAGAACCUAGGGUUGCACUCUUACCCCGCAUAUGUGAAUGAAGUUAGGUGAAGAAUUCAAAAUAUAAGACACAUAUGCAUCCAAAAAUGAAUAAAAGGAAAUUUCUAAAAAUAGAUCUCAUGGAAAGGAAAUCAAAUACUAAAAACCAUAGAUGAAGUACAUACCUCUACUUCUGAGUAAGAAGUCCCCAAAAAUCCGUUAGGUCUUUACUAUGGUUGUAAUGAAGGGCUAGGUUAUGGGUUAUGAAAGAAAGGGAAGGAAAUACUAGAACUUGAAACAUACCAAGGCAUUUAUCACGUUAUAAGGCUCGGCUCUUCAAAUUUAUUUCACAGAGGCGUCCAGGAUUUUUGAUAUGCUUUACAUUUUUUUUUUCUUUAAUAGAUUUCUCUCUUUUUGUUUUUUCUUUUUUUUUUCUUUUUAUUUAUUUAUUUAUUUUUAAGCACAUAUUUCCUCGGUACACGCCACCUCUUUUGUUGAUGUAGAGAUUAACCUUCAUCCUUGUCUUCAUGCCAUGGCAUAUCCCAAGUUAUAGGGUAUGGCUAAAAAUAGGGUGAAAAGGGUAAGGAAAUAUUGUGGGUGAUGAAAGAAAAGGCUAAGUGUUUGGCUUCAAAGGGUUGAUGGCACACACAAUGGGUAGGACAUGAGGUUUUAUUUAGUGGUUAGAACAUGCAUAGCCUAACAUCAUCUCUCAAGGUCCAUCCAACUCAAAAGUAAAAGCAUGAGAUGAUUCCAAAAAUAGAGAUUAGUUCUUAGUAUUCAAUUCAAAAGCCUAAUUGAGAUCAAUUUAAAUAAGAAAGAAAGAAAAUAGUGAAUAAGACUAAUCCCAAAUACUCUCUCAAUGAAUGGCAAUUUGGCUCAAGUAUCUCACAAUGGUAGCCUCCACUAUUUCUCCACAAUCAUCCAAGUAUAGCUAGCUUGUCUAUUAAAAUACUUGAAGUAUGGCCAUGUGAAGUGCUAUACUUAUGAUGCAUAAACUUUCAUGGCAACACUUUAGUUAAAGAAAUAAGAUCAAACAUCACAUAUACAUCACUAUUAGUAAGAGAAAGUAAAAGCUUUAACAAAAUUUUUAUUUUUAUUUUUAAAAGUUAAAGGCAUUUUGUGAUCUUUUUUUUUUUUCAAACAAAUGUGAGUGAAUUUAUGGGCCAUAAUUUCUUAGGGAUAAAGAAAUUUCAUCAAAAGGAAGAGGACACACCUGGAAUAGCUCCUAGAAACCUCUGAUCACAAAUGGAAUGGAUCAUAAUUGAUUUGGAAUGAAAUUAGAAAAUUCUGGAAAAUUGACCUUUAGCGAUGAAAAAUCUGAUGAACACCGUCGCUGAAAACCCUUUAGCAACGAAAAAUCUGAUGAACACCAUCGCUAAAAACCCUUUUGUGACGAAAAAGCUUCAUAUUUCUGGGUAGAUAGCAGCUAGUCUUCUUUGGGUUUUAGGCCACUUUUUUAGCUUCAAAUCUCCCUAAAACGUCAUGUAAAGCACUUGAGACCCCCAAAACAGUUUCAAAUCAUCAUAAUAACCAUUCUAAACAUGUUGGUGGCUUCAAAUUUGCCUGAAAAACAUCAGAAAGGAAAAUAGGCAAAAUUUUUGAUUUUGACCAAAAUAAGAACAUAAUAACCUAUUUUGCUAUUUUCUGGGUUUUAAAGUCAUCUAAUGGCCAAAACAACAUCUGUAACACAUCUGGAACAUGUUUGCAAUCAUCAUGGGGCUAGAAAAAAUCGAGAAAUAUUCUUUGAAACACAAAAUCCUUUCUUUGGAACACAAAAUCUGUUUUUUUUUUUUUUCUUUAUGACUCAAAACUCAAACAAAAAACAACUAAACUCCACACCCCCAAACCUAAACUAAGCAUUGUCCUCAAUGUUUAAAGUAAAUGCAUGUAACAAUUAGUAAAGGCAUAGAAGGAUGGAAAAUAAAGGGAAAACAAAACAAAAUAAAAUAAAAAGGAACGAAGGUACCUAGUUGGGUUGCCUCCCAACAAGCGCUUGGUUUAUAGUCCCCAGCCUGACUUGCGAGGUCAUCACUUUGGAUCAUGCAGAGGAAUGGAAGUCCGCUGUUGAUCAAAAUUGACUUCCAAGUAUGGCUUCACUCGUUGGCCGUUUACUUUGAAAAUAGUACCUUGUUCGUCAUGCCUAACCUCAAUAACUCCAGAAGGAAAUACUUGCACUAUUGUAAAUGGUCCAGACCAACGUGAUUUCAGCUUCCCGGGAAAGAGUCGGAGGCGGGAAUUAAAUAGGAGAACUGUCUGACCAGCGAAGAAAUCCUUCCUUAGAAUAUGCUUAUCAUGCCAUUUCUUUGUACGCUCCUUGUAUAUCUUGGAAGUCUCAUAAGCUUCAUUACGAAACUCAUCCAUAUCAUUCAAUUGAAUUGCCCGUUUUUCUCCUGCUGCAAUCAUGUCAAAAUUGAGUGUUUGGAGUGCCCAAUGUGCCUUAUGUUCGAGCUCAACCGGUAAGUGACAAGCUUUCCCAAAAACUAGACGAUAAGGAGACAUGCCAAUUGGUGUUUUGAACGCCGUUCGAUAGGCCCAUAAGGCAUCAUCCAAUUUCAGUGACCAAUCCUUUCUUGAAGCACUCACCGUCUUUUCCAAAAUUCGUUUUAAUUCUCUAUUGGAAACUUCAACUUGUCCACUAGUUUGUGGAUGAUAGGGAGUAGUAACCUUGUGGGUAAUACCAUAUUUAGCUAAAAGAGAAUUAAAUUGACGAUUGCAAAAGUGUGUACCUCCGUCACUGAUGAUUCCACGCGGAGUCCCGAAUCUGGUGAAAAUAUUUUUUCGGACAAAUUUGACAACACCCUUGGAGUCAUUGGUAGGGAGAGCGACGGCUUCAACCCAUUUCGACACAUAAUCAACAGCCACCAAUAUGUACUUGUUCUUCCAAGAUUCAGGGAAAGGUCCCAUGAAAUCUAUGCCCCAGACAUCGAACAAUUCAACCUCUAGAAUAUUAUUCAAUGGCAUCUGAUUUCUGCUAGAAAUAUUUCCAGUGCGUUGGCAGCGAUCACAGGCAGCUACAAAUGCAUAGGCAUCCUUGAACAAAGUUGGCCAAAAAAAUCCAGAUUGUAAUACCUUGGCUGCUGUUUUGGAGGCACCAAAAUGCCCCCCACACGCCAAUGUGUGGCAAUGUCGCAAUAUGUCUUCCAUCUCCUCCUCAGGCACACAUCUCCGUAUAACUUGGUCAGGGCAAUGUUUCCACAAAUAUGGGUCGUCCCAAUAAUAAUGUUUAACCAAGGAGAAAAACUUCUUCUUCUGAUGAAACGAUAAAUCAGCUGGAAUGAUAGUACUAGCUAAAUAAUUCACAAAGUCAGUUUACCAGGGAGCUUCGGAUGAUCGAAUGGCAUACAAUUGUUCAUCCGGGAACAUCUCCAUAAUGGGUGCAGCAUCAUCACUCAUCUUUACAUCACUGACCAGCCGCGAAAGAUGGUCAGCUACUACGUUUUCGAACCCCUUUUUGUCUCGAAUUUCAAGAUCAAAUUCUUGGAGCAGUAGUACCCAGCGAAUUAAUCGUGGUUUUGCAUCCUUCUUCGAAAGUAAAUACUUUAAAGCUGAGUGAUCGGUAUACACUAUCACCUUUGCUCCAAUCAAGUAGGAUUGAAAUUUAUCCAAGGAGAAGAUUACUGCUAACAAUUCUUUCUCCGUGGUGGUAUAAUUCCGCUGGGCGUCAUUUAAAGUACGACUGGCAUAAUAAAUUACAUGAAGUAAUUUAUUUCUUCUUUGACCCAAAACUGCCCCUACCGCAUAGUCACUAGCAUCACACAUAAUCUCAAAAGGCAAGUCCCAAUCCGGUGCGACAAUGACAGGUGCAGAAGUAAGCUUCUCUUUCAAGAUAUUAAAUGCUUCCAAACACCUUGAAUCAAAAUUAAAUUCUACAUCUUUAAGAAGGAGAUUGCAUAAGGGCUUCGUGAUUUUGGAAAAAUCUUGGAUAAACCGACGAUAAAAUCCAGCAUGACCCAGAAAGCUUCGAAUCCCCUUACUGAAGUGGGCGGUGGCAAUUUUUCUAUGGUAUCAAUUUUUGCCUUAUCAACCUCUAUGCCUUUAGCUGAAAUUUUAUGCCCCAGGACUAUCCCUUCUUGCACCAUAAAAUGACAUUUCUCCCAAUUCAAAACCAAAUUGGUUUCUUCACAUCUUUUCAAAACUAAUGCCAAAUUAUGUAAACAAGAAUCAAAUGAUGAGCCAAAAACAGAAAAGUCAUCCAUAAAAACCUCAAUGAAGCGCUCCACCAUGUCCGAAAAGAUGCUCAUCAUGCAACGUUGAAAGGUGGCAGGGGCGUUACACAACCCGAAGGGCAUGCGCCUGUAUGCAAAAGUGCCGAAUGGGCAUGUGAAUGUCGUCUUUUCCUGAUCUUCAGGUGCAAUUGGAAUCUGAUUAUACCCAGAAUAUCCAUCUAAAAAACAAUAAUAUGAAUGCCCAGCAAGUCUUUCCAACAUCUGAUCAAUGAAAGGCAAGGGAAAGUGAUCUUUCCUUGUCGCAGUGUUCAAUUUCCUGUAGUCUAUGCAGACACGCCAUCCUGUAGUUGUUCUUGUCGGGAUCAACUCAUUCUUAUCAUUUUUCACCACUGUAAUACCCCCUUUUUUCGGUACGACUUGAACUGGACUCACCCAACUACUAUCUGAAAUCGGGUAAAUUAUUCCAGCAUCUAAUAACUUUAAUACUUCAGCUCGCACAACUUCUUUCAUAUUCGGAUUUAAUCGGCGCUGAUGCUCAACUGAAGGUUUAAAAUUAUCUUCCAUCAGAAUACGGUGCAUACACAUGGAAGGGCUAAGUCCCUUAAUAUCUGCAAUAGUCCACCCUAUUGCCGUUUUAUGCUCCCUCAAAACUCGUAGUAAUUUCUCUUCUUCUAGUUUACUCAAAUUUGCAGCAAUAAUCACAGGAAGAGUUUCAAAAUUACCCAAGUAUGCAUAUCUUAAGUGGGAAGGUAGGGGCUUCAAUGUGAGGGUUGGUGCAGUAAUGACACUGGGUUGUGGCUUGGAGGUUGUGACGCCAAGCUCCUCAAAUUCGCGCCACCUUCUAGGAGGGCGCGGUUUCAUUGCUUCCAAAAUGUACACCAUCUCAGAAAUUUUAGGAUCCUCAUGCUCAGUAGUAAAGGAAUGCACAAGGCAAGCCUCCAAUGGAUCACAUGGAUGUUCUUCUUUAAAUUUUUCAGAGACAACUUUUUCCACUAUAUCCACUCGGAAGCAAGAGUCUGAUUCCACUGGGUACUUUGUUGCUUUAAAGACAUUGAAGGUCACCUGCUCAUCAGCCACUCGCAAAAUUAAUAAACCUUUGUCCAAAUCAAUUAAUGUCUUCCCGAUUUUUAGAAAGAGGCGGCCUAAGAUAAUAGGGGUUUCGGCAUCUUCUUCCAUGUCUAAAGUCAAAAAAUCUGCUAGAAAAAUGAGCUUAUCAACUUUGACUAACACAUCCUCAAUUAUGCCUCUGGGAUAUGUUAUGGACCUGUCCGCCAUCUGCAAAGAAACAGUGGUUGGGUUAAUUACCCCCAACCCAAUAUGUUUAGCAAUAGAAGAAGGCAUUAGAUUAAUACUGGAUCCUAAAUCACAUAAAGCUUUUUCAAAGUAAGUGGUUCCAAUAGUGCAAGGUAUAGUAAAACUCCCUGGAUCCUUUAGCUUAGGUGGUAGCUUCCUCUGCAAAAUAGCACUGCAUUCUUCGGAUAAUUUCACUAUCUCAUGUUCGCCCAAUUUCCUCUUCUUUGAUAUAAUAUCCUUCAUGAAUUUGGCAUAACUCGGCAUUUGCUCCAAAGCAUCGGCAAAAGGAAUAUUGAUUUGUAAUUUCUUGAAGAUAUCAAGAAAUUUCGAAAAUUGGACAUCCACUUUGUUUUUUCGAAGACGUUGAGGGAACGGAAUUGGCGGUACAUAUGGCUUUACAGGGGCAGCAGGUUGAGAUAAUUUCUCUACAGUAGCAGGUUCAAUUUCUUGAGAAAUUUCAUCAAGUUGUGCAGCAGUUCCAGCAGUGAUAGACGACGACGACGGCACGUUAGUAAUUUCUGAUGUCUCUGCAGUUUGUUGCUGGAUAUUCUUGUCUUCAUCCAAGUCUACUGCUGUUUUUAUUGGCCUCCCAUUCCGAAGAGUUAUCGCCUUCGCAUGUUCUUGGUUUUUCGGAUUAAUCUCUGUUUGGCUUGGCAAAGCUCCAUUUACUCUUCCUGUCAAUACAUUAGCUAGCUGGCCCAUCUGAACCUCCAAGUUUCGAAUAGAGGAAGCUUGGUUCUGAAGGGUCGUCUCGGUUUUGCUCAUAAAUUGAUUUGGAUUGACAGAGAGAGUGUUGACAUUUCCAGCAAGUUGAGUAAUUAUAUCCUCUAAUCCAUGCUUCUUUUCUUGAGGUGUGAAACCAGGUGGAGGUCCCUGUACAUUUUGGUUAUUACUCCAUGAAAAAUUCGGAUGGUUCUUCCAUCCUGGGUUAUAAGUGUUGGAGUAAGGAUUAUUCCGUUGUCGAUGAAAAUCAGAGACUUGGUUCACUUGUUCCGAUGGUGAUGUGAAUGGACUAGCUCCACACUCAUUGCCAUGAUGAGGUCCUGCACAAAAUUCACAACUUAAAUUAGUAGACUGAAUAGCAUUAACAUUUAAAGUACCAAGUUGUUUAGACAUAGUAGAAAUUUGCGCAGUUAACGCAGAUAUGGCGUCAAUCUCAUGAAUUCCAGCUUUCUUUGGUGUUGAUCUCUCACUAGGCCAUUGAUAGUUAUUUGACGCCAUCUCUUCCAGCAAGUUAUAUGCUUCAGUUUCUGUUUUUCCCAUCAAAGCUCCUCCGGCUGCAGCAUCAAUUGUUGUUUUGCUUGUAUUGUUCAAACCAUUGUAGAACGCUUGAACUUGCAUCCAAGUAGGUAGGGCAUGAUGUGGGCACUUCCUUAGCAUAUCCUUGUAUCUGUCCCAUGCUUCAUAAAAAGGUUCCAUGUCAUUCUGAGCAAAUGACAUGAUGUCAUUCCUGAGUUUCGCAGUCUUUGCAGGAGGAAAGAAUUUAGCUAAAAAUUUCUUGGCCAAGUCGUCCCAUGUAGUAAUCGAAUUAGGUGGUUGAGAAUUCAACCAUGACUUUGCCUUUUCCUUUAAUGAGAAAGGAAAAAGCCUUAAGCGAACAACAUCAUUGGUAGCUCCAUUGCACUUAAAUGUGUCACAUAUCUCCAAGAAAUUAGAGAUAUGGCUAUUAGGGUCUUCUUGAGGUAAACCACAAAAGAUGGAGGAUUGCUGAAUCAUUGAAAUUAUGGCUGGUCUGAUUUCAAAAUUAUUGGCAUCAAUGGUUGGACGACGAAUGCUCGAUGGUGAUGCCACCACAGAUGGGACAUCAUAGUCCCUUACUGGUUUUGCUUCCUCAGCCAUAGGUGAUGGCUUUUCCAAUAUUGCGUCCUUCCCCCUUUUGAGUUUGUUAAGCUUGUGAAGCGUUCGCUCGAUCUCUGGAUCUAAUGGUACAAGCACAAGACUCUGCGAACGUCUCCCAAAACUCAUGCACUAGGUGAAGUACCUAAAAAAACAAAAAAAAUUCAAAUUAAAAUCCAAAUCAAUCUAUAUCGAUAUUAAUAAAAUUUAAAACACUCCCCGGCAGCGGCGCCAAAAACUUGUUGUGAUAUUUAUUGCAAGCGCACAAUUCGCACAAGUAAUAUAGUGAUGAGUGAAGUGUCGUUCCCACGAAGAGUGAUUUAAUUUACCAAGUACCGAUUGUGAUUAACCCAAGACUUUAUUUGAACAAUUGAUGAUGAGAUUUGAUUGAUUAAUUAACUAAAACAAUGAAUAAAAACAAGCGUAGAAAAAUAAAGUAGUGAGAUUCAAGUUAUGAGAGCACUAGAGCUUCCGAUUUCACCAUAGCCAAUUCUACCCAAUUCCCUUAGCAUGUUAAUCCUAAUUAUUCUCUAUGUUGACAGUUGAUUUUCCCUACUUUAUUUGAUACUCCAUCCCUGGUUAUACCAAAAGUAUUCUUAUUACCAACCCACUCUAUCCCUAGUAAUGGAAUUAAGAUAAUAAGAACCCAUUAAAUUCCUUGGAAAACCUACAAAACAACCACAUAAGUCAUGACAAACAUCCCUGUCUAAUCAUGUAACUCAUGGUAUCUAUUACAAGAAGCAACCCCAAAUUGGAUAUUCCUAUCGUCAAUUUAGCAUCAAAACAAUUAAAUGUUGGCCAAACAUUCAAUGCAUUAAGCAUGGUAAUAGAUACUCAACAUGGAAAAAUAUUUGGAAUUAACAUUGACUAAAGUAAUUGAAUAUUCAUGGCUAGGCUACAUCGUAGCCCUAGCAAGAAGAAAUUAGUUCAUGACAACUUUAAUAAAAACCAUGAUAAAUAAUAUCAUAGGAAAGAAGUAACCAAUUGAAGAUUUGAUCUCUGCACGACAGCAACUCUAGCUCCAGGUUGUCUUCUUUGUCUCUCUAAAACUCUCUCUCUCUCUCUCUCUCCUUUGAGUGUUUCGGCGAUGAGUAUGAAUGUGUAGGGAUUUUAGGGUAGAUGAUGGAGGAUGGAGGAUGGAUGAUGGGUAAUGGAUCCCUUCAACAAUGACCUAAACUCCCUAUUUAUAAACCUCCUAGAAAUCCUACCUAAGGAAUAAUUACAAUUGUUAUAAAAAUAGGAUUCCUUCUAAAAUAAAGUCUUCUUUAUUUCUCCUUGUUUGACUUGAUAAGACUUGCACCAUCUUGAACUAGGAAAUUUGACAACAUUCCUUGCAACAAAAGGAAUGACUUGGCUUCUUUUUAGUUGAUCUUCAUCUACUUGCCUUUCUUUUAGCACACUUUCUCCUAUUUCACAAUUCCUUCACAAAUCUCACAAAACCAAUUAAAAACAACCAAUUUAAACCAAGAAAUUAAUAAAUAAAUAAGCAAAGGGGGCAUAAAAUAUAUAUAAAAUAUAGACUUAUCACUUGUAACCAAUAACCAUAAGAAGUACAAAUUUGUUGGGUAUAAAAUAAUGAAAAAAAACUAAAAGAACUUAAGACAAACAAAUAGAACACCACUGCAACUGUUCACCGUCCCGUGGUGUUGUGGUUUCCCCUUUUUUUUUUUCACUUUUUUUUUUUAUAAAAAAAAUUAAUGUAAUACUGAAAAUUUAUAAUGAACAAAUUUGUAUAUAUAUAUUUUUUAAUAAAAGAAACACUGUUUUAUUAUUAUUAUUAUUAUUUUGGGAUGAAAGAAACAUUAGUUGUAGACUUGUAAACUGGUCGAAUUCGGAUAAGAUAUCCCUCGAUCCAAAUCUGAAUUCAUUUAUAAUCGGAUUAUCAAAUUCGGAUCGUAUUUGAACUAUCGAAUUGCACCUAUCAAUCCAUAUCCGUUAUGCAUCGAAUUCGGAUCGGAUCAGAUUAUUAUCUGAUUUAUUUUGUGAUGUAUAAAAAAUUAAAAUUUCAUUAGUAGCCUCGUUCUUUUAUCGUAUUUUUCUACUUUUUAUAUCAAUUUUUGGUAUUUGACCAUAAAAAUUAGUUGUAAGUGUAUUAUUAGUGCAUAUAAAAUUAAAAUUACUCAUUUAUAUAUAUAAAAUAUUAAUAUAAAGUCUAGAAAAACUAAAUUAUACUAAUAAUAAGUCAAAUCAAAUUAUUAUCGGAUCAGAUUAAUUAUAAUCCAUAUCCAGAUCCAUUUCAGAAAAUUCGGAGAAUUUGGCUACUCCCUCAUUGUUAAACUAAUUAAUUUUAUUUGUUCAAUAUUUCAUAUAUGAAAUCUUUCUUUUUGAAAUUAUAGUCAAGAAUCUCAUGUGCGCAUUUGUUUUGUUGGUCAUAGGUCAAAAUCAAAUAAAUUUAUAUAUAGUUGUUACACAUUUCAGGGCAAUAAAUUCAUGCAUGAACAAAUAGUAAUUUGGUAUGCAUCAUUUCAUUACUGCUAAUGUAAACUUGUCAAGUCCAUAGUUCUACUUCUCCAAUAAGUUCUACUUCUUCUGAGACUGAUGUUUUGUUUGGUAUCUCUGACACAUACCUAUGAAAUUUUUGGCUCCUUUUAAUUUUAGGGAGAUUCAUUGUGAUACCUAUAUAAAUUAUAAUAUAUAUAAUGGACUUUAGAAACACGUUCAAAACUCAUUUACAACAUAACAAAUAGGCUUUUAACUUCUUAUAAAUUACAAAACUGCCAUCAAUUUCUUAAAACAACCACAACCCCAAAACCUUAUAAAAAUACCCAAAACACUCAAUAGGGCAUCAAAGUAAUUUAAUAAUUAAAAUGAAAUUCAAUAGAGCUAGUUGUCAUUUUUUGAAUUUGUUUAUAGAAAUUAAAUGGUGUAUGGUUUAUUUAUAUUAUUAGUACUAAGAAUAGGUAUAUGACUAAAUUUUCUCUUAAUUUAAUUCCUCUGUUUUGAAUCUACCUCUUUUGGUCUUUCCCAACAAACUAGAUUGUUAAUUAAUAUGGUAAUAUUGUUUAAAACAUCUAAUAUAUGUACAGACAAAGAUAGUUUACAGUUAUAUAAUUUUAAUUUUUUUUAAGAAAAAAAUGAUUAUAAUUAAUAGGUUUUUUUUUUGGGCAGAUGAAGCAAACAAAGUUUGGUGGUGAUCCACAGAUGAAAAAAGGAUUGAAUUGCUGUUGCUUGUUUGUUGCUUUGCCUGACACGUUUCCUUCCUUUUUGACUAUUUGCAAUUUUUUUUAUAGCUAAUUGUUUAUCUACAUAUAUAUAGGGUAAUUUAUUCACGUAAAAUAAUUUAAUGGUUAGUGGUAUAAUUAUUGCACCUUAAUUGACAUAAGCCGAAAGUUUUUGUACAGUCUUAAGAUAUUAUUUUCUAAGAUAUCUCAGGUUUUAGUUACUUUUUUGUUCUCCCACGACAUUGAUUCCAUCUAUUGCCUUACACAUGCAUAUGAUAAUAUGUGACACAUAUAAGCAUAUAUGCAUAAUUUUGGAAUUUAUUUACUUCUAUGUUUUCUUUCAUUUUGAUAUGGACUUUGUUUCCCUCGUUCCCUUGAAAGAGGUAUUCCUACUUCUUGCAAAUCACAGUAUUAUACAUAUGCAAAAAUAAUUCAAAAAAACAUAAAACGAAUCUCUACACACAUCAAGCUAUGAUUAACAAAAAAUAGGAAUUCCCACUUUCAAAAAAAGAGGCAAGUAUUUUCCUUUUAGCAUUAAUGCAAAACCCAGUGGGAAUGAUGAUGCACUUGCAUAUAGCUGCAAGUCGUUACUAAAUGCGGCAGUAGAACCCACUCAAACUAGACCAAUUUUUAACGUUAGGUCAACUAGUGGCCACUAUUCAAUUAGCCACCUGAACAAAUUGAGUGGGGCGGUAAUUACAUUGUGUGCGCACUUUUUUGAAAAAAGAACACACCUUUUGGAUUAUAAGUUCUUUUUUAAGGGAUUUGUCAACCAGUUUUAAAUAGCUCCGUGUUUUUUCCAAUUAUGCACCAACACAAGCAAUAGCAUUGGUGCAAAGUGUAUCUCAAAUUUAUCGCAAUGCAAAUAGGGGAUUGGUCAAAACAAGCCAAACAUAUUUUUUGUUGGGAAACCAAUAAGUGACGAAGCACAGUCCCAUUCUUUAGUGAGCUUUGUGUGAGUGUCUGUCUAGGUCUGCUCAGCAUCACUUUCUCUUGAUAAAAUACGAGAAUGACAUAAACCCUCAAAUCCCCUCUCCAUACCGAGCUUCAAUACUCUAUUUGAGCUUAAGAGAUCAUCCUCUCUCACAAUACUCUCAGACAACAAUCACCUGAAAAAAGUUCAGGCAACCUUUUUCUUUCAAGCUUCAAAACCCUGCAACUCAAAACCCACGACUCACGGCUGACAGAAACUUCAUCUUUAAAUUCCUAAUCCUCUCAAGAAUACUCUGGCACCUAUGCUGAAGCUUAUUCCCCAUCCAGCCAUCCCGUCACAACCUCGUUUUGAUCUAUCCCUUCUCUAGAAUACCCUAGUCCACAAUUUCAUUGCUCCACUUUUCCUAUGCAUUUCAAUGAUUUCGUUGUUAUCAAGAACAAAAGCAAUAUUGAGAGAGAGAGAGAAGAAGAAGAAGAAGAAGAAGGAUAAUAAUAAUUGAAUACAUUGCCUUUUUUUAAGUAAUGCAUUGUCAUUAUCUUAUACAUUUUCAGUAACCAAUACAAUCUUUCCCUUUUUUAUCUACACUCUAGGUGCGUUGCUAAUAUGCAAUUCUAACUGCAGCCAGAUAAAAUGGCAUUCUUUUCUAUCUACACAAUUAAGAGCAAGUCAAAGAUGUUGCCAGAGCUGAGAAUACUCAAAUUUAUCCAAAAAAUAUUGUGUUUUCUCCUUAAACCAGACCGUAUAUACCUUGGUCAUAAGACGAUUGAAUAGACGCAUGAGCUGAUUAUGGCUAAACCUCCUCCUACAAAAUGUACAAUAUGCAAAACCUUUCGACAUAAGGGAAAUCAUUUAACAUGUCUAACUACAGAUAUAAGACUUUAAGUCAUCACAUUAUUGCAUGAACAAAGGACUUACCUGGACUAUUCCACCAAAGCCUCGAGUGCUUGGUUGCAAAAAUGUGUGCCUUUCAUGCAAUUUCGGCCAGUGAUAUACCAACUUAGCUCUCUUGGCGUCCCAAAGCUUAACAUCUCCAUCUUUGCUUCCUGUUAAGAACAAACUGGUAUUUUGGGAUUAUAGAUUUCUUGGUGACUCUCCCUUCAUUCAGAUUAAUUCAUCAAAAGGUUAAAUGAUAAUUGGACAAAGAACUGAUAUUUCAGAGUUAAUCUUGCAUGAAAAUUUGUCAGGUUAUACCUGAGUGAGCCUUUGGUAUAUACCAAAGCAUUCCAUUUUGAUUUUGUUCCCCAAGCUUGGUAGCAUUCCCAGGAUGCAUAUCAAAAUUCAAUGAUGUCUUCAUGACUUGUUCACCUAUAUCAGAAUGCCUGUGCCUUUUACUCCUUCUAGUAGCAAUGUACCAGAAAUCAUGAAGUCCAACAUCACCACCUUUUCCGCCAGUCACAAUAAGGGGGAAGAUAGAGCCACUACAAAAAGGACAAGGCAUAUACAAGAUGAAGAAAAAUUAUUAACUGAACCGAAAAAAUUAAUAACUACGGCUGAAAAAGCAAUUCAUGACAGAGGAUAGAAGCCCGUGAGGUGGUAGGUGGAGCCAAUGUAUCCCAUAUAACCACAUUAACAUUACUGGAGCUAUAUCCAGCAACAGCAAUGAUUGAGCCACUUGAACUAACAUAAGCAACAUUGCUGCAAAUGAAAUUACAGUUGGAAACAAUAAGAAAUUUCCCGAUUGAAAUUGAGUGUUAACAACCACAGUUCCACAACAUAAUCACUCACAUCCAGUCAAACAAUUCAAGACAGCCAAAAAAUGAUGCACAUUAAUAAAGCAAACAUGAUGCAAAAGGUUACCCAAUAGUAUAUCAGGGUCAAUAGACAAUACGAAUGGUCAUUUGUUAUGGAUCACAAUCCACCUAAGCAGCUAAAGUUUACAUUGACAACUAACUGUUGAAGUUAAACAACAGGAAGUUAGGAACUACAGGACUAGGGUAUUAUUCCAAUAAUUUCAGGUUUCUGAGUAAUUUCAUUUUAUCAUAAAGAGGGAAGUAGCCAUCCCAUAAAGGAAAAAGCUUGGAGCAAAUAUUACAGUCACUUCAUCUUGAAGGAUUUAUCUAUAGCCACAUAUUGAAGCAAUGCUCAAAUUAAUUCCUGACACUACACUUUAUUAACAAACAUAUUUAAGAACUUAAUAAUUGGAAUUGUGAGUUAGAAUUUUAAAAAUCAUAUCACACAUACGAUGCAUGGCUGUUAAGGCAGAGAGAUUUCAGUAUGAGAAGGUACAGGUUGCAUUUCAUUUGAGCUCCUCUUCGACUUGUGCUUCGAUUUCUUAUCCCACUUCGUACUUCUGGAAACCAGUCAAAGUUUGGCAUUAAUACAAAACAAAAGGGCACCAGAUUAAACGUGACUAUUUCUAGAUAAGGAAUAGCAUACUCGUCAUGUGAACUAAGACCCCAACAAGAUUUCAGUUUUCGGUUGAUGUGCUUGAGAUCCUUGUCUGAAGGAAACUUGUAUUUUCUUGCCUGCAUAUACAUUAGCCAGGAAGAAAAGAAGAUGGGAAAAUGAAACCAAAAGGUUAUCAGAUUAAAUUUUUCGAAAUCCUGAACUUAAUCAUCUAGCUUUAUUAUAUAUAAUUUUCACAAAUGUUUGUGCUGCUAAAGCAGAGUCAAUGAAGUUUGCACCACACUUGUAUGUAGAUUGCAACGAAUUUAUACCCAAGAAUCUAUUGCAUUAAGUAAUUCAACUAGCUCUGAAACGGUAUGUUCAGAACUCUGACGAGAGGGAGUGCUCCUCAGAUAUCUGAAAAUGAGCAUACAUGAAAGAAGGUUUAUUAGUAUCGUCCAACAACAAACCCCCCCUCCCCAUCCCAACAAUUUAAUUUCAAAUGUAAUCAAUUCUAAUUGAGCAGCCAAUAGGGAAGUUGAGGGGAAGGCAGAAAUAGAACUGUACAGGAAAAAGAAAAAUAAAACUAUUAAUAAAAACUAUAGGAAACCUAAAGUUCAAAUCAGAACCUCUCAAAGUCAACAACUUUGUGCACCUGAUUUGCACUACGCAAAGCAGCCAAUGCCAACUGCAUCAAAUGAAGAUGGGCAAGUUAAAGAUGAUGUAUAAAUUAUCCAUGAGAGAGAGAGAGAGAGAGAGAGAGAGAGAGAGAGAUCAAAAAGUUGAACCACGAUCCAAAUUCCAAACUCUACCUAGCAUGGUGAACUUCAGUAAAGGCCAUAUUAUUUUUCUUAGCUUUUGGUUGGGCUCUAUCUCACUGUAUAUGAAAUGACCAACUUCUCUUCCAACUCAUAAAAUUCAUUAAAUCUGCUCCUAUAACCCUAGCACUCUCCGACCAAAUCCUAAUACUCAAACCUAAAAUGGGUGAAGCAUUUCGAUUCGUUUGCAAAACUUUCUAAUUGAGUUGCAAAACUUAUCUUCGAUAUUUAAAAUUAAUGACCAAAUUCUGAGCUUGAACAGCUAGAAGCUUGAAUGGCAAAUCGUACCUGCUCAGGAGGGAAUAGAAGUGGUGCAUCUGUGAGCAUGAUUUUAUCCACUUCCAUCUUUGCAGCAUACAAAACAUUCCAUGAAAAAAAAUAUUUAGCUGGUUAAGCAAAAGCCAGAUUACCGUCAUCAAAAGAACUACAUUCCACUAAAUGGGAAAUUCUUAAUUUUCACCCAUUAUAUUGCACCCCAAGGAAAAACGUUACAUCUGCCACAAAGCUGAUUAGUGAUAUUUGGCUCAUGUGCAGGGGAGUGGGACUUUCGGAGUUUUUCCUUUAACAGAAGUGAACUGACAUAGUACUACCAAUCUAAAAAAAUUCCUUGGAAAUUUUGUUUUUUUCUUUCUGUUAUUUACAUAAUUGACACAAGAACCAACAACCAAAUGAAACAGAAUUAUUCAUUUAAUUAAAAGACUUCCUUACUGAAUUACUUAUAGUUUAAAUUUAUUAAAUUGUGCAGAAAGAUACAUUGGUCAUGACUGGCUAUUGGUUAUUUAAAAUGAUUGCAGCAAGUUAACAAAGAAAGACUCUUAAAGAUUCAGUCGAACAGAUGCCAUGUAACAGAAAAGAAACUGAACACACUAUUCAGCUAUAUGCAAUUAAAAUAACAGAGCAAGCAGGAACAAAAUGGUUGAGAGUUCCAAGAAAAUAUGACUAAAGAAUAGCAUCUUGAUAGGCUUAUUCUGUUUAUCAUGAAAAAUGGAAUGCCUUUAAAGUAUUAAAAAAGAGACUGCUAGUUUUGCAUUUUCUCUCCUUUUAAAGUUUUUUUCUGUUCUUUCAUGAUCUGUUAUAUUCAAUUGAGAUAUAUUAUCCAAAGAAAAGGGAGCUUACUAGUACCUUGACGAGAUUUUAAAUGAAGAUUUGACUAGCGAAAAGUACAAUUUUAAGAUAACAACGAAUACAAAAUAAAGAUCAUUAUAUUGCAUUCUCCUCUUGAAAACUACUCAAGGACUGCAUAGAUUCAAUCGAAUAUCAAGUUUUGCACUCUCUAGAUUUGAGGAACAGUUAGAGGAAUACUUAGGUUUCUUGUCUUGCAAAAAAUUUGGUUUGUGCAUUGGUAGUCCUACGAGUUAAGGAUAGAUUUUGGGUUUAUUUGUUCCUUCCAUCUCUUCCUGUAUUAUGUUUUCUUCUAUUAAUUCUCUAAAGCAACAUAAAAACUAAUGGCUAAACAUUUUAUUACACUAAAGAUGGCCACAUUUUGGAAAAAGACUUUCAUAACAUCUUUUAACUUCUUACUUACUCACUGGCUUAAGUCUCUUCCUCUGACACGUCUAAUGAAUGGAAAUUAUUAUCAAAUAAUUAAAAGACGACCAAUUCAGGGUAUGCACAUAAUCUUUCAUGAAUGGUUUCAAACCUGGGUUGAGUACCACAAUUACAAGGUAGGUCAGGUUUCUUGACUAAAAAAAAGGUAGUUCUGGUUUCAGCUAUAAGUAGGUUGCUAGACCAAAGUUCAUGAGAAUAUGCUGUCAGGCGGAAUAAAAUUACACUGAAAACCAAUAUCUAAGUAAGCUCAAGCAUGGUUCAAGUUUUGCUAAUUACCAAUGUUCGAAAUACUUGAGAGAGAGGGACCCGACCUGCCCAGGCGCCCAGACCCGCCUAACGCCUAGGCGGGCGAUUUUAAAUAUCUUAUGAAAACUAAUCAUAUCCAAGUAUAACAGUAAGCAUAACUGGCAAUUGAGAAAAGAGAUUGAAGAAGAAAACCUGUUCCUGAAGCAUUUUCCCACUCCUGCUUUCAAAUCCUAAGUUGUCUAAGAUUGUUUCAGCAGCUCAAGGAUAAAAGCUAUGGUUUUUUUUGUUGACGACAAGUUCGGUAAAUGUGGACUUACCUUUGUGAAGCAAUGUGAAGCUGAGAGAGGUACAGAGAGGGUAGUGGACACAAGGCACGCCAUUGAAGCUUUCAACUUUGAGUCUCUUUAUUCCUACUUCCUUUCUUGAGCUCGGUGUCCGUACGUAAACGACUCUCAACGGUGUCGUUCCUUUUAAAGUUUCGCCAUAACAUUUCCGGACUACAAUUAAUUUCCAAACCAAACCCGACCCAAAUGCGCAUCAAGCUCAUUCGGAGGCCCAUUCACAAGUAAAAGCCCCUAGUGAGUCUAUCCGACAGUCCUAAUCUGUGGGAUUGGUUUUGCUUGGAAAAACAAAAACCGUUGCAUUGAGGCUUUUGAAGACAAUCAUUGGCAGGAAAGGUGGUUUUGCUUCUUGGGUCUUCCUGUUGGUUGGUGGAAACUAAAUACAUGGCUGCAGGAAAGGUGAGGAAGGGAUUAUUGGUGCUGGUGGUUUAAUCAGAAUUGUCAAUGGGGACUGGGUUGGUGGAUUCUCUUCUAACAUUGUGGGCCACCCUCUAUGGCUUGCGGCUUGCUAACCAAUCCAACUAUUUUCCCCUUAUUGUGGAGUCCGAUUCCCGUUUGGCGGUAGAUCUUUUGAAUGCGCCUAGUUUUGAUCCUCUUCACCCGUUGUUCACUCUGAUCUCUAGCUUCUAUUGCUGGUAUGCUUGCUUCAUAUUUGGGAUGCUGCUCCUGCUGUUGUGCAUCAGUUAAUUUUUAAGGAUAUGUGUAGGGUUUGUUUACCCAGACUUAUCAUUGUUCCUUAUUAGUGUUUCUGUUGGGCGUUUUCCCUCCACUUUACCAACCAAAUAAAAUAAAAUAAAAUAAAAAAGCCUUUAAUUUAAUUUAAUUUUAUAUAUUUUAAUACAAGUGAUAUUUGUAACGACCCUUAAAAUUUAGAUAUUAAUAUGUAGUUGCGAUAUUGGAGGAGCGAUUUUCUCAAACACACUAUCAAAGCCAUUUCCACUAAACUAGACCCCGUUGUCAGUUUUUGUAAUAUCUAUAUUAUAUGUCACAUCAAUUAAAUCAAUGAAGUGUAUUUUAAUUAAGGCAAUUAGAAAAACAAAUAUUGAAAUAAAUCAUAAAAUAAAAGAAAAUAUCAAAUUAUUUUAAUUGAUGUGGUUGUCCACCUCAGCUACCACAUAAGAUGGUAUAAAGAUGUGGUAUACAAAUGUGGUAAGAGUAGCAUUAUUCUUUUUUAAAAAAAAGUAUAAUACGAAACAAAUUCACGUAGGAUGUAUGUAUACAUUUUUUUUAUUACUUAUUUUUCAUACACUUUUUAAAGAUAUGACAAAAAAUACGUUUUUAAAAAUCAAUAUAUUAUACACGUAUUAUAAACCUAUUUUUCACAUAUUAGUAAAUAAAAAUACUACACAUUAAAUUUUUUAUGUAAUCUAUAUGAAAAUACUUUACAAUAACCGAAUUUUUAACCGUAUUCUUUUAUAUAAAAAAAUUUGUCGAAUAAUAAAUGCACAUAUUUUAUUUGUGUUUUUCUGCUCCCUAUUUUACUAAAUGUGGCUUCUGAUAAGGAAAGUUUGUAUCUAGAAGUUAGUUUUUGUUUGAUUCACUCCCUGUUGUAGUUGGACUCAUUUGAGGACUUUGACUGGAAAAUUGAGCACCGAUGUGUGCUGUUUUGAAAAAUGCGUGCAAAAGCCAUCAACUUUGUAGAUUGGCGUUGUUAGUUAGGCAAGUGCAAUUUUCAAAUAUCAUCAUGGCCUAUUUGAAGCGAAAUGGACAUAACCUUGUAUAUUCCCUUUCCAAUACAUUACCAACAUGUAUGGCCUGGAAGCCAACCGGAGCUUUUUUUUUUAUAAAGUCCACAAGUUAGUUAACAUCAAGAAAAUUGGAUCCAAAUAAUACCACUAUUCUUGUCACUGGGUUCCUAGAUUCUAGGUUCGAGUCUCUUCUCCCCAAUAUCGUUUCAUUUCUGUUUCAAGAAUUAAAACUGAAAGUGAUGUGUGAUAAAUAAAAAAUAUGGAUCAAUCCCAAACAUUUAUUGUGUUUUAUAAAAAAAGGGCUUAAUUUACAAACCAAAACAAGUUAUCCAAAGGGAGAUUAAGGAGUCUUCAAACUGAUUACAUAUGACACAUUUAUAUGUUCAUGAAUAAGUAUCUAAAAUAUCUAACAGGAUUACAGGUCACCACCAAACAUUGGGUCAUGAUGCAUGGUGGAGAAUAGAUCAUCUUCAAGGCAAUGAACAUUGUUCAUGAGAAUGCCCAACAACUGAUCUCUGUGUUGUUGCAGCUCCAAGACUUGAGAUCUUAUUGAUUCCAAUUGGGAUCUGAGUUCUUCAAUCAUCUUCUGCAAAUGGAAAAUAGCUCCAGUGCUGCCAUAAACAGGGUCUCUGAGCCUUGCUCUUGCUUCAUAAACUAGAGCUUUCACUGCAUCUUCCCUUCUUGUCUCUUCCACCAUCUGAUUCCAAAAUACAAUUGCCAUAUCUUAGCUGAUGUUUAAUUAAUAAUAAUUCUAACAAAACUCUGUUCUAAGCAUAUUAAAGUACCACAGAAACUCACCUGAAUCAUUUUGAUCACAUUGCUAGCACCAAAAACUUUAUGCACACCAGCAAACUUCUCAAUCUCCUCCCCUGGGAAAUAUGGUGCAAGUGAGCAAUUUCUGUCACAUCUUCGGCGUAGCAUCCGGCAAGCUGCGCAUGGUUGAUGAACCCUAUUAUGCAUUGGUACUACUUGGGUGUCCAUGUUUUGUUAUUUCAAGGAUGGUUCAAAAGAAGCUCUCCAGUUUGUGUAUAUAUAUAUAAGAGAAGAGCAGCUAAAGUUUGCCAACAUGUUGAAAGGAAUAAUAGGUUGUUAGAUGGGGUGCCAAAAUUCAAAGGUUAAGUGCAAGGAAGGCGGCCACUAGAGGACAGUUUUGAGCUAUAAUAUGAGGGUUGAAAAUUGUGUGAAACCUCACUGUUGGGACAGUGGACCUAACAGUGAACCCCCAAUGUGGAUUUUUCAGAUCUUGCAGUUUUGGAGAUUCAGUCAGUUUCCAAUAAAACAAACCUCAUGUUUGGUGAUGUUCAACUUUUUGCUGAUCAGUUUGUCUUUUCAUUAAAUUCUGGAACCACACCAAAGACAGCACCAUGUGGUAGAAAAUUGUGUUGGCACUUACUUGGAGCAAGUUUGAUUACCAUUUUCCAAAGCUCAAUUUCCGUGGUGUUUUGGAGGCUUUUAUGACUUCUAUUGUGGUUUUUGGACUGCAGCUAGACUACAAGCACAUAUGAAAGUUCCGUGAGCUUUCGUACUUCACACGUGGUAAGCGUCCAAGCAAGGAUUUAUCUGUAACUUUGAGGCUUCUAUUUACGAGGAUACACGUGUAGCGUCACUCAAGCUAAUACAUUGACAACAUAUAUUAUUGGGUGAGGUAGAAGUAUGUGUGACCGUUAGAGGCCCAGAAUAAUUUAAAUUACUAAUGCAGGGCUUGUAUUUCUGAUGUGGGUUUGAUAUGAGGUUUAAAUUUCACAAUACAAUAUUUCCAGAGAGACGACCAGGAUACCAAGAACAGUAAGUGCAAACACAUGACAUAACCGAGAAAAGAGGUUAAAUUUCACACGAGAAGCAACUCCAGGAAACAAGUGAGUGACUAAACAAAGACAGCAAAGUGAAAACCAAGUGGAAAUUGAAAUAGCAUCCAUUGAUAUCUACAAAAUCUGCUAAAUAAAUAAAACUUGCAGCAGGGGAAAAAAGAGCCGGAGGGAGAGAGUCAUAUUCUUGGUCAAGUUUUGUGUCCAAAGCCAGCCCACCUCUUCACUCCUUCCUUCUUCGUCCUUUGGUGGGAGUUGGAACCAAGUAGAUUCUCAAGUGAUUUUCCUUUUCUGUUCCUAGCCCUUCCUGCUUCUUUCAAAAGAUCAGCCAGUCUUUUCUUCUCGUCGUCAAAAUCUGGAUGUGCCGUCCCAAGCUUCUCUUCCCUCACCUUUAGAAUGUGCUCUAGCAUCUCAAUUGCAGCUUCUACUCUGUAAUAAGUAACAGAAUUUCAUGCUCAAUGGAGGAAUUAAACUAAAGCAUUAUAGAACUUAAACAUCAAUAGUAAGACCCCCUAGAGCAGGAUUUAUCAUAGAAUCAAGAAUGAUUCAAUUAUAAUUUCUAGAUUGAAGAACCCUAGAGAAAGUUAACAUUUCAUUUCCAUUCAACAUAGCAGAAAGCACAAACAAAACCCUUACAGCUCACAUGAAUAUCAAAGAUCAGUUACCUUCCCAUGGCAUCAUAAGUUGCUGCAAGGUUGCUAUAUACUCCAAGAGUAUCCACGUGACAAAGGCCACACUCCUGCUCCAGAAUCUCCCUUGCUUCUUCAAAAAGCCGAGCAGCCUCAUCUAAUUUGUACAACUGCACACUAGCCAAUCCCAUCUGGUUCAGCACAAUACCAAAAUGUGCUGAUUUCCUCUCCCCGCUGGCCCGAAGCUUUGAUAUAGCACUCUUAAAGGACCUCCAGGCCUCCCCAUACCUCCCAACCAUAUAGAACAUAACACCCAUCUGCGCUUCUAUUCCCGCAAUAGUGCUCCGCUGUGCAGGGGUGUCCUCUAAUAACUUCAUUGCCUUCUGCAAGAGAUUUAGCGCCUCCUCAGGCUCAUUGACAGCUUCGUAGAUGGCUGAGAUUUCUGUCAACCCGCUAGCAAUUUCCUCAGAUAUGAUUCCAGGCAAAGGUUUCGCGUAUAUCCUCAAUGCGUUCUCGCAGUAGGAUUUGGACUCUCUUAGCUUGCCUGUCUUGUAAUACAAGUCAGCCAGGCGAAUAAAAACUGAUGCUACAGAAGGGUGGUUUUCACCCCUUGUGGAUUUGAGAACCGUAAGUGCUUUCUGGUAGGAAAAAACCGCCUCAUCAAAGCGGCAAAGAGACAAGUAAAUGUCACCAAUGCCCAUGUCGAUAGCGGCAACCUCAUUGUCUUGCCCAUUGGCAAUCAUAAUCAUGCUUGCAAGAACAAGGUGCUCGAGUGCCAAUUCAUAAUCUCCCUUUGCCUCAUAGAUGAGAGCCAUGAGACGCCGGUCAGCAGCCUCUUCGACAGACGCAGGUGAGCUAUGCUCCCUUCGAAUUUCAAGAGUCUUCUUGCAGUAGUUCUCUGCCUCAUCAAAUUGCAUUACUUGGACAUGGGCCUCUGCUAGGUACCUGCCAUUCAUUUCCAAUGCCAUUUCACACACAAUGCAAUGCAGUUAUGUUAGUGUUUCCAGCACCCUUCUAUAAUUUUUCGGGUAUUUUCACUCGUUUUAUUUCACCAAAAUAUUUUUGAAGCCUCAAUGAUGAAAGAAUGAAAUGCGGUUACUUUGAAAAUACAUGAGAAAUUACAAAUGACUUGUUACAUAAUCAAAAUUUGUAACUAAUCAAGUGUGCUCAAAAUCCGCCAUUGUUUUCAACAAACCUCAUCAACCAAAUCAAUUUUUAAUUAGUAUUAUUAAAUUAACAAUUUUAGCUAAUUAUUUUUAAAUUAACAUUUUUUAGCUAAUUAUUUUGAAAUUAACAUUGAGAAACACGAAGGUGUGAAGACUAUAUGCAACCCACAUCCCGAUGCAACAACUAAAUCCACCCAAACCCAAAUAAUCAGAGAAACAUGUGGGCCCAACAUUACUACCAGUCUAUCAUUUUUCCUACCCAAAAAAAGGCGCAUUUUAGCAUUAAAAUGAGCCUAUUGAGCUGAGAAAAUAGAGCUCAUACCUGCAAGUCUCUGCAACUCUCGGAUCCGACCCGCCCAGAGUCUCCCUUUGGAUCUUCAAACCCGACUCGUAACAUAAAAUGGACUGCUCAAGCUGUCCCAGCAUCGAACACGUGUCACCCAGCUGCAUGUACCCUGAGAACUUAGCCAGCGCAUGGUCCGGCCCGUUUUCCGGAUCCGAGACUUCAAUUGCCCGCUCCAAAACCCGAACAGCCUCCUCAAACCUGCCCAAACUACAGUAUAUCGCCGCCACAACGUGCAAGCUCAUAGCGAGGUCCAGACCCGGACCCGAACACCUCUCGAAUGAUUUGGAAGCCCGAAUGGCGUAGUCCAACGCCUUGUUUGGGCUCUCGCCCGACCCGAAAGUAUCCCGGGCGAGCUUUAACAAGAACGGACCUAGAUCCGGGUUGUCGAGCGAAGUCUCAUCGACGGGUUGGGUUUUUCUGGAGGCUUUCGUUCGUGAGGUGGAAGGUGACGGGGUUUUGGUACCAUUGAAGUGCUGUAUUUUAGGGGUCGGGUCGGGCACGAAAAUGGUCUGGGAUGGUGUUUUGGGUGAGGCUAAGGCUGGCAUGACUGAGAAGUCAGAUACCCAGAAUUCAAGCUAAAAUUCGAUAUAAUAUAAAAAACUCACAACAGAAUUGGCAAAACGGAACCAAAUACCCGCGCAAUUUAACAAAUGUGGUGAGAAAUCAGCGACGGCAAUGACCAAUUUAAUUUGGGUUUUCUGCUAUAUUUUGCAGAGAAGCUCAUGAUAAAGGUGCAGUGUUGCAGAGAGAGAGAGAGAGAGAGAGAGAGUAAUGAGAGAGUGAGAAUGUGUGUGUCGGGUAGAGGAGGGAAGUAAUGGUGGUGGUGGUGGGGAUGGAGGGUUGCGUGGAAGAGACUCGUAAUGAUGAAGGAAUUGUGCUUUAACUUGAUGACAAGCUUCAACACGAAAAAGGGGACCAGCAGAGAUACGAAAUCCAUUUUUCAGUAUUUUUCUUCUUUUCCACUGCCUUACACGCUGUCCUUCUUUGCUUUGCUUCGCCUGUAAUGUUCCCUCUACAGACUGGGGAAAGAAAGAGUUGAAGGCUGGAAAAACUGAUUUGGUUGCUUUGUUGUUUUUAUAAAGGUCAAAAGUUACAAAUGCUACUUGGUGGUGUGCCACAUCUGUAAACGAAUCUUAUUUUCACCUAUUGAAUUGUGUUUCUAAGUUUUUUUAAAAUAAUUUCUGUAAGUAUUAUUUUGUAGUGUUUUCGGUUGAAUUAACUUAAAAUUAAGCAUACUUUCAAGUUUCGGUUCCAACCUGCAAUAUACCCCGUAUAUAUUGAUUUAUAAUUUAUUGAACUCAAAAUCUGCUCAUUAUUAAGCCUUCUCAAACCAAUCCUACCAUCUUAUAAUUAGAUUAGACGAUUUAGUCGAAUUGACUCAAAAUUGUACCCAUCUUUAAAAAUAACAAUUGUUACAAUUCAAUUAUUGAAAUUGUAUGAUAAUAAAAAAAACAAUUCCGAUCUCUUGGACUCGACCACAGGAGUCCAAGAAAUUGUGGUCACCAACCGUUGGAUAUGAAUCUAAUAAUUCAAAAAAGUUUCUUAAAAAAAGUGUAAGAGUGAGUGAGCCGUUGAAUUUACAUCUAACGGUGAGUAACUAUAAAUCUUUUGAAUUACUGUAAUCCAAAAGAUCAGGACUGUUAAAAUAUAAACAUGUGAUAUAACCCGUCAACUUAUUAUAAUACGAGUGAAGGGCAAAAGUUUGUAUUUCUCAUUUUUACGACACAAAGAUGAGCGACCAACGAAUAAGUUGCUUGCGUGGCAUGGCUCCUUUAUGUGAUGAAGAAUUCAAUGUGGUGUGCAAUUUUCCGAAAAGUGUGAGCGUCCACAAGGAGAGCACAUGACCCACAUGUGAGGGUUGACAGGGAGCUGCUAGAAUGUGGAGGUUAAUAUGCAGGGCUUAUUUGCAGGAUGUUACCAACCGUUCAAUUAAAAUGAACGGUUCAGUUUCAAAAUUGUAGUUUUAUUACAACUGGGUUUAAAUUACCCAUAAGAAAAAUCUCAACCCGCGAGUGACUUCAGUUUCACCCUUCUUCCUUCUCCUUUUUAUCUCUCAUCUCCUUCUCUCUAUGCGGCAGCCAACAACCUCACAUCCAUGAUCCAGCACCCUCCUUCUACCUCCUCCCACCACCUAAUUCUUCUCUUUCUCUCCCUUUGACAUCCACGAAACUCAAGUUCCAUAUAUGGGUUUUUUUUUUCUUGUUUUAAAGGACUGACAUACACAAAAUUGAAUUUGAUCUAGGUUGGGUUUCAGGUGGGUGCGGGGUGGGAUGGGAUGGGAUGGUCGUGGUGGAGGGGUGGCUGGCAGGCUAGGGUGUUAGAAUCGAGGGGGAGGGAGGGUAGAAAGGAGCAAGGGGAGGGGAAUGAGUUGAGAUGGAUAAAUUUUCUCCCCUUUUUUUUUAAAUAUUUUUAUUUACAAAUUUUGAUUUUUCACCAAAUUUUACAAAGAAAUAUUUAUGUACUGUUUCAUAACUUAUGAUACAUUUUAGAUUAGUCAUUUCUCUAUUUUUAUUUCCCCCCAUAAUUCUAUUUUUUUAAAAAUAGAAUUUCAAAAAGCAUUCUUUCUGGUUUGGGACAAGGUAAUUUUCCAAGAGGUGCAUAUGGAUCCAAUACAAGUUGCUCUGGAAGAUCUCUGAAGACAUAAGAAGUAAGAGCAGAAGCAUCAUGUAAUUCAAUUUGGGUUGGGGCACUGGGUUGGGGAUGGGUGGUUGUGGCGAGGUGAGGAAUGGAAGUAUGGCUGUCUCAGUCUGGGAGACAGAGGGUUAGGAGGGGCUGGGGGUGUUGAAUGCUUCUAUUUUUUAUUUUUAUUUUUGGGUACAUAAUGAUUCUUCUUUCACUUUCAGUUUCGACAAUGAUGUUGGAAUAUACACCAAAAUUUUAUCCUGUGUAUAAUUAAAAGUAAUUCUUUAUCCCAAACCAUGUUCACUAAUGGGCCAAUAAAAUGGCAAUAAUACUUCAGUAAUAAUUCACUCAAUGUUUUGUAUGGAUUGCUAUGUGUAUUUAUUGUGAAUAUUGGAAGUUGUAGCAUAGAAAAUUAAUAAUAAAUUGAAGAGAACAACAUGUAGCUUCAGAGAUUGGUACAUCGUUAAGGUUUCUGAAUGGUGUUCUUCCCGCAUAGCUCCAAGUUAUUUUUUGAAUGUUUUAAGGUAAACAAAAAAGUAAUAGAAACUAAAGUUUUAUAACAUUAAUUUGUUUAUAAACAAACCAAAACCAUACUUAAGUUUUAUAACAUCACACUUUUGUUUCUCUGAUCCAAUGAUUACUGAAUUCAAAUUGGUUGAAUUAUAAUUUUGAGAGUUCUAAAAUCGAAGACACUGUCGUAAGGAACACGUAGCUUUUUUAGGGUAUAUUAUAAGUGAAAAUUAUAUUUUAGAGCUUUGGGUACAGAGAAUGUCACAAGGAGUUCCUAGGAAUUUUCAGUGUAUUUUUUGGAUUUUUAAUUAAUUUAUUAUGAAUUUGAGAAAUAAAAUCAAGAAAAAUAAUAUUAAAUAGUAUAAGGCAACACUGGCAGCAGCUAAAGGUGGCGCCGUCAUUGUUUCCAAAAGGUGGUGUAACAAGACUACGCCAUAUGUCAUUUUGAUUACUUUUUGAAGUUUAUCCUAUAAAAAGAAUUUAAAAAAAAAAUCAGAAAAAUACACCGAAAAUUGCGACAAACUCCUCACGACAUCAUCCUCGAUUAUGAAGGUCCAAAAUUAUGAUUUCACAUAUUUGAGUACAAGGUAGUCGUUGGAUCAAAGGCCACGAGUAUUAAGUUACAAAACAUCAACUAGUGUUUUAUAUUGUUUAGAAACAAAUUUGAGUUUUCAUUAUCACUUCACAUUUUUAUAAGUGAGCAUUUUGCUUUUGUAGUUUGAGGGUGUAGAGAAUGUCACAAGGAGUUCUUAAGAAUUUUCGAUGUAUUUUUUGGAUUUUUAAUUAAUUAAUUAUGAAUUUUAUAAGUAAAAUCAAGAAAAAUUAAUAUUAAAUAGUAUAGGGCGACACGUGGCAUCGGCUGAAGGUGGUGCCGUCAGUGUUUCCAACAGGUGGCAUACCACGAUUGCUCCACAUGUCAUUUUGAUUACUUUUUCCAAUUUUAUUUUUAAAAAUUAUUUAAAAAAUAAUUAAAAAUCAUAAAAAUACACUUAAAAUUGCUACAAACUCCUCAGACAUCAUCUUCGAUUGUGAAGGUCUAAAAUCAUGAUUUCACAUAUUUGAAUUUAAGGUAAUCGUUGAAUUAAAAAACAUGAGUAUUAUGUUAAAGGACAUCAAUUAGUGUUUUCAAUUGCUUAGAAACAAAGUUGAGUUUUAUUAUUACUUGACAUUUUUAUAAAUAAAAAUUAUACUUUUAGAACAACGUAGAUAAUGUCACAAGAAGUUCCUAGGAAUUUUCGGUGUAUUUUUUGAAUUUUGAAUUAAUUUAUUAUGAAUUUUAGAAAUUAAAUCCAAGAAAAAUACUAUUAAAUGGUAUAGGUCGACAAAUGGCAGUGUUGAAGGUGGCGCCGUCAAUGUUUCCAAUAGGUGGCGUUCCCAGAUUGUGCCACAUGUCAUUUUGAUUAUUUUUUUCAAUUUCCUUUAAAAAUUAUUUUAAAAUAAGUAAAAAUAAAAAAAAAAUACACCGAAAAAUGAUACAAACUCCUCACGACAUCAUCCUCAAUUAUGAAAGUCCAAAAAUCAUGAUUUCACAUAUUUGAGUUUAAGAUAAUUGUUGGAUCAAACAACAUGAGUGUUAAGUUAUAGAACAUCAACUAGUAUUUUAGAUUGUUUUGAAAUAAAAUUGAGUUUUAGUUAUCAUUUUAUAUUUUUAUAAUAUAAAAAUUAUACUUUUAGAGAUUGAGGGUGUAUAGAAUGUCAGAAGAGGUUCUUAUAAAUUUUUUAUGUAUUUUUUAGAUUUUUAAUUAAUUAAUUAGGAAUUUUAGAUGUUUUGUUUUGUUUUGUUUUGUUUUUUGUUUUAGAUUAGGAAUUUUAGAAGUUAAAUUAAUGAAAAAUUAUAUGAAAUAGUAUAGGGCGACACAUGGCAGCAAUUGAAGAUGGCGCCAUCAGUGUUUCCAACAGGUGGCGUCCCACAAUUGCGCCACAUGUUGUUUUGUUACUUUUUUCAAGUUUAUCUUUAAAAUUUCAUAAAAAUAAUUAAAAUUGAUUAUAAAAAAAUACACCAAAAAUUGCUACAAACUCCCUAUGAAAUUAUCUUCGACUUUGAGUUCAUAAUAAUUAUUGUAUCAAAUAACAAGAAUAUUAGGUUAUAAAACAUCAUCUAGUGUUUUAGAUUUCUUAGAAACAAAUUUGAGUUUUUAUUAUCAAUUUAUAGUUAUAUAACUCAAAAUUAUACUUUUAGAGCUUGAAGGUGUAGAGAAUGUCACAAGGAGUUUCUAAAAAUUUUCGUUAUAUUUUUUGGAUUUUUAAUUAAUUUAUUAUGAAUUUUAGAAGUUAAAUUCAAGAUAAAUAAUAUUAAAUCAUACUGAGCGACACGUGGCUGCAGUUGAAGGUGCACUGUCAGGGUUUCCUCCAACAGGUGGCAUACCGCGAUUGGUCUAUACCCUUUAAUAUUAUUUUUAUAGUGUUUAACUUCUAAAAUGCAUAAUAAAUAAAUUAAAAAUCCUAAAAAUACAGCGAAAAUUGCUAAAAACUCGUCACGACAUCAUCCUUGAUUAUUGAGGUCCAAAAUUAUGAUUUAACAUAUUGGAGUUUAUGGUAAUCGUUUGAUCAAAUAACUUGAGUGUUAUGUUAUGAAACAUCAACUAAUGUUUUAGAUUGUUUAGAAACAAAGUUGAUUUUUUAUUAUCAAUUUAUAUUUUUAUAAGUGGAAGUUAUAUUUUCCAAGCUUGAGGGCGUAGAGAAUGCUACAAGGAGUACAUAAGACUUUCUGAUAUAUUUUUUAGAUUUUUAAUUUAUUUAUUAUUAAUUUUAGAAGUUCAAUCCCAAAAGAAAUAAUAUUAAAUUAAAGUGAAUCACAUGUGGCAGUUCUAGAAAGAAGAGUUGUCAUUGUUUUUGAUAGGUGGCGUUCUACGAUUGCGCCACAUAUCAAUAUUAUUAUAUUGUUAUUUAUUAUAAAUUAUUAUUAUAUUACUUUGGACUGUAAAUUAUUAUUAUAUUAUUAUUAACCCUAAAUUAUUAUUGUAUUGUUAUUUACCCUAAAUUAUUAUUUUAUUUAUUUUUACCAUAAACUAUUAUUAUUUACCCUGGAUUAUUAUUAUAUUAGUUCUCACCCUAAAUUGUUAUUAUAUUUCCUUUUACCCUAAACUGUUAUUAUAUUUCCUUUUACCCUAAAUUAUUAUUAUAUUGCCCUUCUCUAUACCAAAAUUUUUAUUUUAUUAUUAUAUUUCUUUUUACCAUAAAUGCUAUUAUUUUGCAACAUGAAUUUAAAUGGAAAAAAUAUAUUUUAAACAUAAGUUAAAAUUUAAAAAUUGCAUUACAAGGUAAAAUAAUAUUUUAAAAAAAUUAAAAAUUAAAAGAAAAAAAAAACCUACAACUUCUCUCUCUCUCUCUCUCUCGGCCCACCCCAACCCCCUUCUCGCUCUCUCUCCCUUUUUCAAGCCCCAGCACCAACCACCCAAAAAAACAAAAAAAAAACCAAUGAACCUAUCCCAUCCCUUUUUCUUUCUUCUUUUAAAUCACAACCUCAACCCUUUACCCUAGACAGCCAUACUUCUACCCUUCACCUCGUCAUAACCACCCAUCCCCAAGCUGGUGCUUUGAAUUGUGUAAAAUAGAAAAGAAUUUUACUUUAUAUGGGCUGCAGGUAGAAUUGUGUAUUACCAUUGUAUUGAUGUAGUUGUUAUAAGAGCAGCUCCAGCGCUACUUCAAAUUUGGGCAAAAGGCCCCCCGACCGAGCCCAAACACCCUCCAGCGCAAGAGAAGAGGCCCGGGUAAGAGCUGGGUCCCACCAGCCUGGGCAGGCCCAAUGGCAAGUUUCGCUUGGGCUUCAGCCCGAGGGUUGCGACGUCAGCGCAAGGCAAUUCAAAUUUUUUUUACCGUUGGCGCAUGAGUUUCACGCGCCAACGGUAAAAAAAUUUGACUUCCAUGCGCUGACGUCAACGUGAUGUCAGCGCUAAUAGAACCCAAUGGGCAUGUGCCACAUGUUGCAACCGGGACGCUCCGAUCGGUUUUUUUUCCAGAAAUCCGACGGUUCGAAAAAAUUCUGAAAUUUUUUUUAAAAAAAAACCAAAAAAUUAUGUAUUUUUUUCCUUAUAAAUACCUAACCAUUUUAUUUACUUUCCACACCAAAUCUUCAUACAAUUUCUUCUCUAUCCAAUAUUUUUUACUCUCCCCUCAUAUUAUUCACUUUCGACACCAAUUCUCCAUACAAACUCUUCUCCUUCCAAUAUUUUUUACUCUCCACUCAUAUUUUUCUACUACUUUCCAUUUGUAUAAAAAAAAAAAAAAUUACAUCUUCUGUCGAAGCCGGAGGCUCGUGAAAAACUCAGGAAGAUAUUGCGUUGUGUCAGUCUUGGGUGAACGUUAGUCAUGACCCUAUCACAGGCAAUGAGAUGAAGUUCAAUAAUAUGUGGAGCAAAAUUCAUGGAGAAUUUUGUCAAAGAUCGGGUUCCAUUCGGACCGAAAUGACCUUGUAUAGUAGAUGGAAACUUCUGAAUAAAGAGUUAGGGAAAUGAAGAAAUGCCUUGACAAAAGCAAGGGAGAACAUUCGAAGCGGUCAAAAUCUAUCCGAUGAGGUAAAAUAUUUAUAAUUGCCAUUUUAAUCAAUUUAAUGUGAUUUUUUUAAUUGCAUAUUCUAUUUUUUUUUCUUGCAUUAUCUUUUUUUUUUUUUUGCAUUUCCAAUUUGUCUAUAUUUUCUUGCAUAAUCAAUUUUAUUCUUGCAUUUCAAAAUAGUUUAUAUUUUCUUGCAUAAUAAUUUUUUUUUCUUGCACUUCCAAUUAUUUAUUUUUAAUAGAUCAUCCAAGCACAAAUGUGGUUCGGUGCCAUGGGGCAAGGCAAAAAAAAUUUCGUGCAUUUCCAAUGUUAGGAAGUUGUGAAGGAUUGUUCGAGAUUCAAAAUUAUUCCUACCGGUCCGCCGGUCGGUUGUGUUGAAUGAGACGCCGCUCCACAAUUCGCCAUCAACCGAUUCCCCAUUGGACUCCCCAAUGGAAACGGAGUCACCACUCUCACGUCCGCCGGGACUUAUUGGGAGAAAGGCGGCAAAGGCCAAGAGAGGGGGCAAUUCGAACAAUGAAUGUGUACAAUUAUUGGAGCAAAUAGCUAAGAACACCUCACUAAGAAUUGAGAGAGACUUGAAAAGAGAUGAAGUGGACAAGGCACGAGAGGAAGCAUUUGCAAUUCAACAGCAGCAGGCACAAGAAAAAGACAUGGAUGAUAGACAGAUGAAAAUCAUGGCCAUGAAUACGAGCCAUAUGUCUCCUGAAACAAAGGCCUAUUGGAAGCAUAGACGAAGGGAUGUGAUGAGAAGAAAACUUUUCCAUGACGACGAACCUAGCAAUACAGAUUGGUUAAAUGAUGAAAACCAUUAGGUUGUAUUGAAACACCUUUGCCAUAUGUUGUAUUGUUGUAUUGUUGUAUUAUCCUUUAAUUUGUUAUAUUGUUUCCUGUUCAUUAAAUAAAAAAAGUAUUAAAUAAUAUGACUAUUUAUUAAAAACAUUUGAGCAUCAAAACAAAGAUUAAUUAAAAACAAACCUUAAUUUAUUGCAAACAACACACAAAACAAACCAUACAUAAAAGCAUAAUAAAAAAGAAGAAGCCAUAAUUCCAAAAAACACCACACACAAAAUAAAGCAUAAUUAAAGACAAAGCAUAAUUCCAAACAAAGUACUAAUCUUGACUUCAUCCAUUGUGAUUGCCUUUCAUCUCCCGCAAGUGCUUGAUCAAGUCAAUUUGACGUCUCUCGUGAACAUAUGAAGAUUGCAUUUCUUGAUAACGAUCAAUCAUGAGGUUGUUGAAUCGACCAUCCCGAACUAACGGUUCGGGCUCCAUUGGUAGUCCAUUUGGUCCCAUCGGCCUUUCAUAUAUUCUUGUCAACGCCGUAUUCAUGGGAUCGGGUUCAAACACCUCUGGACCAUCGUAGUCAUACUCAUCCUCCACAAUCAUGUUGUGGAGGAUGAUGCAAGUCAUCAUAAUACUCCGCAACACCUCCUCAUUUAGCAUCCGAGCAGGACCCCUAAUAAUUGCCUAAUGAGCUUGCAAGAUACCAAAACACCUUUCCACGUCUUUCCUGUAACCUUCUUGAAAGGAAGCUAAGCUUGUUUCCUUCUCGAAUUGGGGAUUCAGAAUUGUUUUCACGAAUGUUGUCAACCUAGGAUAAAUUCCGUCGGCAAGGAAGUACGCACCAGAGUAUACGGUAUUGUUGAUUUGGUAUGUGAUAUGGAGGGAAUGGCCUCGCAAUACCUCGUUGAACACUGGGGGUUGACCAAGGACAUUGAGGUCAUUCUGAGAUCCGGCAACUCCGAAGAAGGCAUGCCAAACCCAGCAGUCGAAUGAAGCUACGGCCUCCAAAAUUAUACUUUUUUGGCCCUUCCGAUUCCUGUACUUUCCUUGCCAAGCAGUAGGACAAUUCUUCCGCUACCAGUGCAUGCAAUCAAUGCUUCUAAUCAUGCCUGGGAAACCUCGAGCCUCUGCUUUUUGUAGCAGCCUUUGCAGGUCCCUCGGCAUGGGUUUGCGAAGAUACUCCCUCGUGUACAAAUUUUUCACUGCAUCACGGAAUCUCACCAAGCAUUCUAGGAUAAUUGAUUUUUCCAUCCUUGCAAUCUCAUCCACUUGCUCUGCAGAUGCCCCAUAAGCAAGCAUCCGCAAAGUAGCUGUAAGUUUUUGCUCCGGGAUAAGACCCAAAACUCCAACAGCAUCAUGCUUUUGAAUGGAGUAUGUGUCGUAAUUACAAAUAUCAUGCACGAUUUUGUUGGAACAAAUGUGGCUACAUUCUAUAUCUCUCUCGAAACUUAGAAACAUGAUAUAACGAAUUUGGGAUAAAUUAAUCAUCCAAGAGAUUCUUAUCCCGAAACUCCCUACGUCUGUCCACAUUUGGGGCACGAGGACGAUGGUGUUGCCUUGAUUGAUUAUGCAUACACAUCGCUGCUGCAAGCAUUUGUUCCUCUUCUUCAUCGGCGUCCCGAUCUUCUUCAGCACGUUUACUCCGGAUUUCUUCCCUUUCUUUCUAUUGCCUUUCCAACACCCUCCUCAAGUUUGACAUUGAGAGUAGAAUGUGUUUUGUAAAAUCUGAGAAAUGAAGGAAUAAAUAAGAGAUAGUGUGAGAGGUAUGAGUUGAUGGUGUAGUUUUAUAGAGGGAUUCAGAAGAUAGAGAUGACACGUGGCACAAUUUUAGAGGGUGAAAAUCUUAUCUGAAAUCUGAAAUUAUAAUUUUUUUUAAAAUAUCUGAAAAUCCUAUCUGACAUGGGACACGUGGCACAAUUUUAGAGGGUGAAAAUCUUAUAUGAAAUAUGAGAUUAUAAUUUUUUUUUAAUGAAUAUCUGAAAAUUUUAUCUGGAAUAAGACACGUGGCAAUCGAGAUUCUCAUUCGAAAAUAUUUUCUGAAACAUAAUGAACAUGUGACAACCAAAAAUCUUAUCCGAAAAUUUAAUUACAAAACAUUAUCAAAAUUAACGGUUUAAAGUAUAAAAAAAUAAAAUAAAUAAAGUACAAUGAAUAGUAUUUGCCUUAGACUUGCCUUAGACUUAGAGCUUCUCCAGCGGCACAGCCCAGCCCGAGGCUAGGGGAGGAAAAAAAAAAAAGGUGUUCCAGCGGACAGCCCAGGCCCGAGGGCAAGGUGGGACCCAGCAACCUGGGCUGGCCCGAGGGCAAGGUUGGCCCGAGCUCCAACCCUCGUUUUGGUGCUACAGUAUCGCUACAGUAUAGCUACAGUGCCGCUACAGUACCGCAGUGCUACAGUGAUGCUAUAGUGUCUGCGCUACAGUACCACUAAAAGUCCACGUGUCGCACUCUGAGCUCUCCGAUCAGAUUUUUUUCUCCAAUCCAACGGCAGCCAAUUUUUGUGCAAUAAAAAAAUGAAAAAAAAUUGAAUUUAAAAAAAAAAAACCAAAAAAAUACUCUUUUUUUUUCUAUAAAUACCAAAAAAUUUUCCGAUUGAGAUAUGAAUUUUAUAAUAAAUAUUGAUAUGUACGAACCCAAAAAUAUUAUCUGAAAAUAUUACCCAAAUUAAUUAUUUUCAUUAAAAAAUAGGAGGGAACGAACAAAAAAUUAAUAGGACUUGCCANNNNNNNNNNNNNNNNNNNNNNNNNNNNNNNNNNNNNNNNNNNNNNNNNNNNNNNNNNNNNNNNNNNNNNNNNNNNNNNNNNNNNNNNNNNNNNNNNNNNUGGCAAUUACUAUUCAUUUUUUUGUUUUUUCCUCCUAUUUUUUAAUGAAAAUAAUUAAUUUGGGUAAUAUUUUCAGAUAAGAUUUUCGGAUUCCUACGUGUCAAGACUAUUCAUAAUCAGAUAAAAUUUUCGGAUAAGAUAUUUGGAUUCAAAUUUUGGAUUAAUUUCAAAGUUCAAAUUUCAGAUAAAUUUUUGGGUUCAAAUUUCGAAUGAAUUUCAAAAUUCAAAUUUCAGAUAAAUUUGGGUUCAAAUUUCAGAUAAAUUUGGGUUCAAAUUUCGGAUGAAUUUCAAAAUUUGAAUUUCAUACAAAUAAGGGUUCAAAUUUCGGAUGAAUUUCAAAUUUCAGAUAAGAUUUUCAUCCAAUAAAAUCAAGCCACGUGGCAUGUCUAUCUUGCCAAAUUUUUCUAUAAAAUCAGAGUCUCAGCUCGUACCUCUCACACCACAUCUUUCUAUAUUUUCAUUUCUGAGAGUUUAUAAUUCAUACUUCAUUCAUUCUGAAUGGAAGAAUUUAGGAGAUGCUUGGAGAGACAAGAGAGAGAAAGAAGAGAGAGAAACCGUAGAGCAGAUGAAGUCAAUGAGUUGCAGAGACAAGUCAAUGAGCAAGUUCUCAUAGCAGUGACUUUGGAAGAAGAAGAGAACCAAGGUCGCCGCCAUAGUUCACAAGCCGGCCGCCGCCGGAAUGUGGAAAGACAUAGGCAUUCUAGGGGUAAGAAUCUUUUGGAAGAUUAUUUUAUCCCAACUUCUUUGUACUCUGAUGUUGAUUUUCGAAGGCGAUUUAGAAUGCAACCUCAUUUGUUCAAUAAAGUCAUGCAUGAUAUUUGCAAUUAUGAUGCAUACUUUGUUCAAAAGUGUGAUGCUGCUGGGGUUUUGGGGCUUCUUCCGGAGCAAAAGCUUACAGCUGUUAUACGAAUAUUGGCGUAUGGAGCAUCUGCUGAUCAGGUGGAUGAGAUUGCCCGGAUGGGGAAGUCCACUACGUUGGAGGCUUUGGUAAGAUUUUGUCAAGCUGUUGAAACUCUGUACACUAGGGACUACCUGCGUAGACCUACUCCUAGGGACCUCCAACGGCUUCUACAAAAAGCCGAAGCUCGAGGAUUCCCUGGAAUGAUUGGUAGCAUCGACUGCAUGCACUGGCAAUGGAAGAAUUGCCCAACUGCCUGGCAAGGUGAUUAUGGAAAUCGAAAAGGCCAAAAAAGUAUCAUCCUUGAAGCGGUUGCUGGUUUCGACACAUGGGUUUGGCAUGCCUUCUUCGGAGUUGCAGGAUCACAAAAUGACCUCAACGUGCUGGGUCAAUCCCUGGUCUUCAACGAUGUAUUGAGAGGUCAGGGCCCCAAUAUCACCUAUGAAGUCAAUAAUACAGUGUACCAGACGGGGUAUUAUCUAGCUGACGGCAUCUACCCGAGGUGGACCACUUUUGUCAAAUCUAUUCCGAAUCCCCGAUCCCAGAAGCAAAAAUUAUUUGCUACCUAUCAAGAGGGAUACAGGAAAGAUGUCGAAAGGUGUUUUGGUAUCCUUCAAAUCAUAAAAACACUCGGAGACAUGGACACGGAGCGACUCGGAAUCGAUCCGUCUGGAGAAGAGGGGAAGGAAAUGAAGGUGAAACUCUAAUUUCCUCUUUUGUUUAUUUGGAAAGUGUAUGAAACUGAAGAAAAAUUGACUUGUUCAAUAAUAGGCUCAACACCAACCCAACAAUGACUAUAUGCUACGCUACGCAGAGCACCUCAUGAAGGAAGCAAAGGUAAAACCCUAAUUUUUAGGUUUGUUUACUUGGAAAGUGCAAGAACUGGAAGGAAUUUUUUUUAUUGGUAGAAAGAAUUAAGAGUUUGAGAAUUUUAUGGUGUCUUAGUUUGUGGGUUUCUGAUCUAAAUUAUUAAUUUUUUAACAGCGGGGGGAUGGAUAUCAAGUUGUUACUCCCAAAGGUAAAUGAAUGCAAAUAUAUAUACACAUUAGCUUCGUGUUAUGAUUGUAUUUUAAUUUGCAUUGCUGUUGUGUUGUGUUGGCAUGUUCAUGUUGUGCUCAUGAUAAAGUACUUGUUGACGUUGACAAUCUUCGUUUGAAUGGGAAGCACUACGGUACUUGGAGAUGUAGUAUGAUGGAACAUGUCCUAGAUAAUCUUAGAGGUGUGAUCUAUGGGCCACGCCCAAGUUUUGUGGUAGAAACAGAUGCAAGUGUUGAAGAAAUUGCUCGAUCAAUGGCUGCCGAAGAGAAAUGGAACGAGGAUGACACCCUGUGUUUUCAUACAAUCUUGAACCAUCUAUGUGAUGAUCUUUUUCUUCAUUACUCAAAGAGGAGGAAGGAAACAAGUGCCAAGCAACUGUGGGAUGAGCUGCAAUUGAGGUUUGGAGCACACGAAUCUCGGGUUCAAAAGUACAUGGAAUUUGAUUUGCUCGAGGAGGAGGAACCAAUGUGGGUGCAAGCUCAAGAAAUGGAUUCAUUGUUCUUCGCUCUGGUUAGGUGUAACAAAAUGGAGAUAGAUGAGGAAUUUCAUGUGAAUGCAAUCAUCUCCAAGCUCCCCCCAUCUUGGGAGGAUGUGUGCAUCGAGUUGAUGCGCGAGGAGCAUUUGCCUGUUACAAAACUAAUUCAUCGCCUGAUUGUUGAACAACAAUCACGCAUCAAUUAGUUAAUCACAAGAAAAGGAAACUAGUAGUAAGCUUGAUUUUUUUUUAUACAUGUUUCGAGUUUUAAUGGGACCUUCCAUGCUUUGAUUUUCUUUUAAAAUUGAUAACAUUUUUUUUAUUAUUAUUCAAUUGCUCUAACUAUUUGUUUAAUCAUUAACAUGUUUGUAAUCACCUAUGGGAGAAAAUUCAACCUCAAUACUACUGAGGUUACCUUUCUAGGUGUAGAGUUUAGUAAAAAUAUUUUUAUUUCAUUUUAUUAAUUAAACUGAGCAGUAAUACUAGUGUUCACAUCCAUCAACCGCAGGGUCCGCUCCCCAUUCCGUGUAUGAAAUUUUGGGAAAUUAUCAUUCUUGUCUCCGUCUGGGUAAAAUCUAUUUAACACUUAAAUUUCACUCAACCAUUCAAAAUCAUCUCAAUUUAAUUGGACAAAACUAUAAAAAUGUCCAAAGCUUUAACAUCUUACAAAGUUUAGGAUAACUUUUUAAUUUUUAUAUUAUAUCACAUUAUAAAUUUAUCAAUUAAAAAUAAAUACAUCAAUUAUCAGGCCGGGUUCAGGAUAGGGAUACCAUCCUCAGUUAUCUGCCAUCCCUAUCCAAUUCCCAACAAAAAUAUUAUUAUUACAAUCUAUAAUAUAUAAUAAAAUAUAUAAUAAGGAAUGAACAUGAGAAACAAGGAAAUUAAUUAUCAUAGCUAUAGUGGAUGAGCUUAUAAUUUUUUUUUCAUUUUAUUUGUGGAUAGAAGCGAUAUUCUACUUUAAACUAAUCUAAACUUCGUGGAUGGAAAAUUGAACUUAGAUGCAGAGUGGGGAGCACAUUCGCUCUACCCAACCUGGCUAAGCCCAUGUCUGCAGAUGAUGCAUGCAUUUUAGUAAAACAAUGGAUUCAUUUACGUGCCAUGUUACCCAAUUGAUGAUUAUUGUACGACUAGACGGAAAUGAGGCAUUAUGAGUCAUAUAAUUUGUAUGUGGGGAGUUAGCUGGAACAAUUGAAGUUAAGGAUGAAGUGAGAUUCAGAACUCAGUUUCAAAAUACGUAUCAAUAGUUAAAGAUUUUGUAAGAUGGUCAUUCAUAAUUUUGUACAAUGUCUCUCGUAAUAUUAUUUUGGCAAGUAAUCCCUUUUAUUUAUUGCAUAUAUAAAUUUAACCAUUCUUUACUUUGGUUCAUGUAGCUUUAAUAUAAGCAAUUUCACUCCUAUAGUAAUCCAAACCGUGUGUGACAAGAAAUGAUCAAUUGAACAUCAAUAGCUAGUGUGAUUUUUUUUUUUUUUUUUAGUGGUGUGAUCACAAGUAGCCAAUCCUUAAGUAACUCACAAAGUGUUGAUCCCAAAAGCCCUCCCUUUUUCCCCUAUCGUCCUCUGUUGUAAACUCUCUUCUAGAUCAUAGACUGUACAUUCGAAAGAGAUCAACAAAAAUUCCCCUGUAAAUAUUUAUUGUGACACAUGGUAUUGUGAGGUCGGCAUGUUUUGAAUAAUUAGCAGAUAAGCUUAUUGUAAAUCAGUUGAUUUAUUCUUAAACACGUCACAAGGCAUUAUUCUUUCACUCACUGUUUGCUAUCUUUUUUUAAAUCUUAAUUUAAAUCACUAUUUUCAUUCAUUUGUGAGACUUAACUUUGACGUGGCCAACAAGAAUAGGAUACGUGCUGCCAAUUGACCAGGUUUUUCGUGAUUUGGAUUAACAAACAACAUGUUUGGAAUUACUAGAAUUUAAAUUAGGGUAGGGAUCAUGCCAUCAACCAUUUUUUUACCUGACAAAUUAUAAUAAAGGCUUCAAAUCAAACGUUCAAAGCAUAAAAACACUCGGAGACAUGGACACAGAGCGACUUGGAAUCGAUCCGUCUGGCAAGGGCCGGAACGGUGGAGAAGAGCUCAAGGACACGAAGGUGAAACCCUAAUUUCUAAGUUUGGUUACUUGGAAAGGAAGGAAAAUUGAAUUCUUAUAUAAUAGGUUUCUUUUGGUUCUAUUCUAUAUGAGUGUUUAGUGGGCGUGUGUGAUCUAAAUUAAUUCUCUUGUUUUAUUAGCUACCAAAACCAACGCCAUGGAAGAUUGGGGGAUUUUAUGGAGUUUUUGAAGGAAGAGAUGGAAUGCCGGUUUCUGGCUAUGGUACAAUACACUAAUAUAUCUUAUUUUCUCAUGGCAAUUACUGACUCCUGGUCCUGGUUUUGGUUGAAAUAUGUAUAUACUUUCAUUAAGUUACUGUUUAAAUUAUAUUUCAUGUGAUUUGUAUGUUAUAUGUUUUCAGUCAUCUGGAGAGACUUGAAUAAGAGGACCCGAGACAUGCAUGCGGUCGCCAAGAUUGAGUCAAAGUUGAGAUCUGAACGUGAUAAUGAGCAAAGGGAAUAUGGUAUGUCUGGUCUUGCUCGUCCAGAACUUGUUCCCAUUGACCCUGUUCGUCUUGAUGGGAAGAACUACCCCAUCUGGGCGCGGCGAAUGGAGUUUUUCCUCAAGGAAUUAAAAGUUGAAUAUGUACUCUAUGAGCCAUGCCCUAGCAUUAUUGUAGGAUCUGUAGCAUUUUCUGGAGGACUUACUGAAUUGAAGGAUGCUAAAGAGAAAUGGAUCAAGGAUGACUUUCUGGGUCUUCGCACGAUCUUGAACUAUCUAUGCGAUGAUCUCCUCCAUCGUUAUGGAAAGAGAAAGAAAACUACAAGUGCUAAACAACUGUGGGACGAUCUAAAAUUAAUGUUUGGAACAAAGAAAUAUCUGGUUAGAAAGUACAUGGAUUUUCAGAUGGUCGAUGAAAAGCCACUUGUGGAGCAAAUUCAAGAAUUCAAUCGCAUUUUCGAUGAAGUUGUGGCUUCUGGAAUGACGUUGAGUGAGAAAUUUCAUGUAUCUGCUAUAUUAUCCAAGCUCCCUGCCUCUUGGAAGCAUGUGAACAUCAAGUUGAAGCGCAAUAUUGAUGAGCCUUUGACUUUAGAAGUGUUGAUGGAUCAUUUGAGGAUUGAAGAAGAGUACGUUUGCGUAUGAACCCAACGGAUGUAUUUUGUUUAUGAAAUUCAUGUAAGAAAUUAUUAGGGGUUUUUUUUUUAUAUAUCAAAGACUAAGCAAACAUGAUUGGAAUUUCAAAAAUCUAAAAUUUAGUGCCCUAAUUUCUAUGUUUGGUUACUUUUUUUGGCUCGUUCUAUGUGAGUUGUGUAUUGAAGUGGGCACUAGUUAGCCGACUUUGUCUGUGCCUUUAGGAAAUUACGAUUAAUUUGGACAAUGAAAUGAGUAUAAAGAAGCAUCACUGUCCCAGACAAGGAAACUUUUGUAUCAACUCGAUCCGUCUUAAUAUCAGAAGAAAAUAGUUCAAAACAAUCUGAACUUGGACAACCCAUGGUUUCACAACUUUAAAAAACAACAGAGAUUCCAAGUUACUAGUGUUAAUGCUCAUCUAAAACGAUAAAAAAGAAAAGAAGAAAAAUAAUAAAGUCAUAUACAGUUGAUCCAAAUUAAAAAUCAAAAUCCCAUUUGUUGUAACCAAAAAAAGUGAUAUCAAUUUUGAAUGCCGCGUCCAAAAAUCCAAAAAAACAAAAUUUCUUAUAUAUGAUGAUCCAAAAUUGUCAUUCCAUAAUUUGUCCCACAAAAGUUCCAAAAUUAAGCUUCUUACUGUAAAACAUGUACAUCAAGAGUCCAAAAAAGAAAAGCAACACUAGAAAGUGUUUUUGUAACAUAAGCAAUUUUUAUAUAUGCCAAACUUAUCAAAAGCGCUUUUGAUUGUCAUCCAUCGUAUUUUGACAUGUCAAUAGCACUCCCAAACAUACCCUAAAUAUAGUUGAUCCCCUACUUUACUUUGCAUAAGUUGUCUCAACUAAAGGACUAGAAUAAUAACAAGACAAGUUCAAACCACAUAUGAGUGGGGUGUUAAAAAUAGGUCCAAACUCUAGAAGUGAUAUUAUAUAAUCAAAAUAAUUUUCUCUAAUAUUUCAUUUAUAUUUUACAUUCAUAUCUUUUAAUAUGUUUGAUUAUAUUAAACAUAAGGAUAAAUAUUUAUUAUUUAUUAUUGUCUUUUUAUUAUUAUUAAAACCGAUCAUCCACUCCAAUUCAAUAUCAAUUGGAUCGGAUCGGAUUGGAUUUAAACAUCUAAUAUGAUUGGAUCAGAUUGAAAAAAUCACAAUUCAAUCUAUAUUGGAUCGGAUGCGGAUUGACUAAAUUGUAUUGGUUUCGAACUGAUGUACACCCCUAACACCACUAUUAGAUCCACCCCAGCAGCCUAGCAGAGGCAAAAGGCCCCCUAGGCCUCAAAAUCAGCUUCCAACGCACAAAUCUUGUUAGGGAAAGAGAUGAGCUCCACCAAUCCGAGCAAGAUGAGCCUAAACUCCUGUCCGUGGGCUGUGACGUAAGCGUUGACGCCCGUUUCAUAUCGACUUAUGGAUUGCGUACCAUAUAAUUUAAAUUCAACUUCAAUUCAAUCGAAUGAAAAAUUUAUCAACCCCGAACAACUUCUGCUAGACUAGCUAAAGGUGAAAUACGUGCAUAUAACUGAAUGAAAGAUAGUGGGGACCCUUUGUAAAUAGAAUGAAUGAAACAAAGUGACUAAUAUGAGAAAUUUUGGUGUUGUGAUAGCUUUGAUUGUCAUAUGAACCUGCAGGUGUUUGUGAUAGAUUUUGUACCUGGUGGUUUGGCAUGCCUCAUGAAAAAAGAGGCCGAACUAGAUAUUGUAAAGAAUUUCCUCCUGAAGACUCUCCACCUGCAAGGGUGGGCGAAGACAAUUGAUAAUUUUACAAUAGGAGAAGGUGUUCAGCCUGCAAGUUUUAAGGUUCACUUGGAUCAAUAUUGUGGGAAGGAAAUUUUAGUUGCAAUUAGCUGCAUAUUUUGGUGGUAGCAAAGAGUUGCUGCUGUUGACUCGUCAAUGGGCCGGGUCGGGCUAGUCCGGCCCAAAUUUAAUGGGCUUGGGUUGGGUCGGGCCGAGCUUUAAAGAGGAGAGAGAAAAUAUCCGGGUCGAGUUUUUUUAGAAAAUUGAAAGCCCAAGCCUAACCUAUGAGCCGGGCUUGAGAAAGCCCAUUUGGCCGGGCUGAGCUAAACCUAACGGGCCGGGCCUAAACGGGCCCUACUUCAUUCAAAAAAAAUCAUAAACUUAAUCAUAAAGGCAUUUUAGUCCAAAUUUGAGAUUAAACUCACUUAAUUCCAAUAUUUUCACUUCAAACCAAAUUCAUAGAACACCCAAUAAAGUCACACAACUUAUAAGAUUUUUCACAAAACUAAUAAAACCAAGUAUUAUUUUUGAGGUUAUUACAUAAUUAGAUCGUAAUACGUUUUAAGAAAUAAUUUUUAAAAAUCCUAAGUAUCAAAAAAAUAUUUUUUUAAAUGAUGGUAUGAAUAAAUAAUUGACACAAAUUACUGUGUUAAUCAUCUAAUUAUAAACUAGGAAUGAGUAAAGAAAAGUAAAUGAAAUGAAACAAAUUAUAUAUGUGAUUUAAGUGAUAUAAUCCUAAACCUAAACUCUUAUUUAUACAUAAUUAUAUAUAUAUAUAUAUAUGCGGGUCUAACGGGCCGGGCUUUUGUGAGCUGGCCGGGCUUUCUUGGGCUUAAUUGGGCCGGGCCGGACUUCAAAUAUCCAAGUCCAAGUCUAACCCGGCCCAAAACGGGCCAUCUCAAAGCCCAUAACUGGCCGGAUCGGGCUUUUUUCGAUGGGCCGGGCGGGCUCCCAUUGGCCCAUGAUCCCGCGGACCAAAUGAUGAGGCCUUAUGCUGGAUCAUUUUACUGAUAUCAUAUACCAAAUACACAUAUGAAAAUUUGAAUAUGUCCUUAAAUUAGAAAAAAAAAAUUACAUGAGUUAAAUUUCCAGAAUUAAAACUACGAAAGUGAAAAUUUCAUCAAAAUACAGGAAAAAAAAAGUGGCUUUUUGAUAAUUUAUUAUAGUUUACAUUUCAUCCAAAAUUUGAGCAAUGAAGUAUUGUAGGAGAUCCUUGUUGGGCUCGUGGGAGCGUUCCCGCGUAGACGAACGGUCAGUAAUGCUGAUUUCCGAAAAUACGCCCAUAGAAAUGAAAAUAUUCCCACCUCCCAAACGAGUCCUCGUAGAUGCUCUCUUCAAUUCCGUUUCUAACUGCCAAACUGAAACCAGCGCCCUCCAUGAUCCUUUCCUCACUCGCACACCCAACUCAACACUCUCUCUAUCUUUCUCUCUCUACUUUUGUACGGACACACACACACACACACACACUUUUUCUCUCUACGCUGCGAGAUUAAUUGAAGAAGGUCUCUCUCUCGCACUCAAAGCGUCAGCUUCUUCCUCUAAAAUCUUCUGCAUUUUCGUUUCUGUUCACUGAUUUUCUAGCUCUGUUUCAAAUUUUUUCUCCAUUUUGUAGAGAAUGGCGAAAACGCUCAAAGAUCUCCUCACCGAAACAAAGAAAGCAGAGGAAGCUCAGCCUCUCGCUCCGGUGCCGGCGGUAAUUGAGAACUCCGCAGACAAGGACGUCUCGCCGGAGAAGCUGAGCCGUUUUCCGAUACAAGAAAAGAAACUUGAAGACUCGCAGCUCUUUGUGGAAUCCGACUCGUCAUCCGGUGAUCCUCAGCCACAAGUCGCUCCGGUAUCUGAAGAAUCGCCUGAGACAAAGACGGCGGAGAAAGAUUCCGACUAUUUGAAGAAUGAAGGUUCAAAUUCAAGUGUGAAUUCAACGGAUUCCUUACUGUUUGAAAGUUCGAAUUCAUGCGAGAAAGAAAGUUCGAAUUCAUGCGAGAAAGAAAGUUCGAAUUCAUGCGAGAAAGAAAAUUCAAAUUCAUGCGAGAAAGAAAGUUCAAUCACCUCUGAUUCAAUUCCGACGGAGAUGGCGAGCUCCGAGAAGUGUAUGGAAUCUUUGGAAAAUGUCAAUGCACCGAGACUGAACGAAAUGCGUGAGAAGCAGCCGGCGAAGAAGUCGGCGAAGUUCCAGUGCGACGACAACGUUUCGGAUAGUGUGAGCGUGGCGAAGCCAGGGGUGCUGAAGCCGUGUCCAAGUGUGGGAGCGAGCCUUGAGAACUUUGAACUUUGGAAGGUUGAAGGUUCGCCGAAGAUGCGAUCCAACGGUGGUGGUAGUACGGCAGAGGGCACAGCGAUGGUGGAGGAGGCAUGGGAGAGACUCAAGAAGUCCUACGUGUACUUCAAAGGCAAGCCGGUGGGCACUCUUGCAGCUAUGGAUCCAAUGGCCGAAGAUUUGAACUACAAUCAGGUAUACCAAACGAUUCUCGUUAAUUGUUGAUUAGUUUUCAUAUUGCACAUAUCUCUUUGAUCUCUGUUGGUAUGAAUUGCAAUUUAGUUACUGGAAUUUGAGUACUUGUUAGUGUUUGUGUCUGUUUGGAGUCAUGCGUUUAAUAAUUUGUGGCACAAAUUAGCCUAUUAGUUUCUCUGCUGAUAGAUGACAUUAUACAAAUAAUAUAUCAAAGACUGGGUAGGCAAUUGAAGCGCUGUGUACAUCAAUAACCAUUUGGAUCUAGGUAAAGCACUGGUAUAUGAAUCCCAUGUUAGUGUAAAAGAGAUUUGAUAAAUUAAAUUUGAUCCAGUGCAUUCAUGUAAUUGAUAUGUUUUUGUUUGUUUGUUGUUGUUGUUGUUGUAGAUUUGAUCACUUGGUCAUAAGUAAUGUCCUUUAUAUUGCUUAAAUUGUUAGGCAUUAAUCAUAAUAAAUAGCGACUAAGAUGAGAAAUUUAUGUGUAGUGAGAGAUUUAAUUAUCAUAUGAACCUGCAGGUGUUUGUGAGAGAUUUUGUACCUACUGGUUUGGCCUGCCUGAUGCAAAAAGACCCUGAACUAGAUAUUGUAAAGAAUUUCCUCCUAAAGACCCUCCACCUCCAAGGUUGGGAGAAGAGGAUUGAUAAUUUUACACUUGGAGAAGGUGUUAUGCCUGCAAGUUUUAAGAUUCUCUUUGAUCAAUAUCGUGGGAAGGAAACUUUAGUUGCAGAUUUUGGUGGCAGCGCAAUUGGAAGAGUUGCUCCUGUCGAUUCUGGGUUCUGGUGGAUCAUUUUACUGAGAUCAUACACCAAAUGCACUCGUGACCAUACACUGGCAGAGCUUCCUGAGGUGCAGAAGGGAAUGAAACUAAUUCUCAACCUAUGCUUGUCAGAUGGCUUUGACACAUUCCCGACACUUCUCUGUGCAGAUGGCUGUAGCAUGAUUGAUAGGAGGAUGGUGAGUCUUUUCUUUUUUGUUUCUAGGAUUCUUGGCAUAGUAUAAUGAGUAUGAGUAUGGAUAAAUAAUCCAAAAGGCCAUAUGCAUUGUAUAUGACAAAACAUAUAUACAUACGUACUAAUACACACAUAUAUGUGUUGAAAGCUUGAUUUAAUAUUGCCACAACCGCCAUUUGGGCAGCUAGAUAAAGCUAGAUUGUCAUUUUUGCACUUUCAUGGCGUACAGAUUGUUUAUAAGAUAACUUGAUACCUGACUUCAAGGGAUAACAGAAUUAGAGGCUCCAAUGAAUUGAAUUUCACCAACUUUGCUUGCUUUUUGAACAGGGGAUUUAUGGUUAUCCAAUUGAGAUUCAGUCACUUUUCUACUUCGCAUUGAGGUGUGCAAGGCAACUGUUGAAGCCAGAGCUUGGUGGUAAGGAACUUCUUAAGCGGAUAGAUAAGCGCAUCACAGCUCUAAGCUUUCACAUUCAGAAGUAUUACUGGCUUGAUUUUGCACAGCUAAACAACAUAUACCGCUACAAAACCGAGGAGUAUUCCCAUACUGCAGUCAACAAGUUUAAUGUGAUUCCAGAAUCCAUCCCUGACUGGGUUUUUGAUUUCAUGCCGUUGAGAGGAGGGUAUUUGAUUGGCAAUGUUAGCCCAGCUCGGAUGGACUUCAGGUGGUUUUUAGUUGGGAAUUGUAUUGCCAUCCUUAGUUCCCUAGCAACACCUGAGCAAGCUACAGCUAUUAUGGACUUGAUUGAGGAGCGGUGGGAGGACUUGAUCGGGGAGAUGCCUCUGAAAAUUGUAUACCCAGCAUUAGAGGGACAUGAGUGGAGGACUGUCACGGGGUUUGAUCCAAAGAACACAAGAUGGAGUUAUCACAAUGGUGGCUCUUGGCCAAGUAAGUCUCAUGGAGAUGGUGUUAUCACAAUGUGCUAUUUGCAUUAGCUCUUUAUCUUUUCUGUUCUUUUUGUUCAUGUCUUGUUUUGAUUUGUCUCUGUUACAUGCUAUGUUUAUUCAUUUUAGCACCUCUAGUAGUCAUUUUCACCAUUAAAGUAUAAAAGUUUUUGCUUUAAAUAUUGGUGGCUCAAGGCUGGUUUUGUUAGUUUCCGUUGAUUUGUAAAUCUUUCAGAUAAUGUCCCCUGUGUCUAUUUGCUUGAUAUUACAAUUUGCAGUUCUAUUUUGCUACUUGAAGCCUAGUGCUAGUUCUAUUUGACUGAGACCUUUCAAUUACAUUUCAUGAACAUUAGUACCCACUUUAUAUGAGUAGGCUAGUUAUUGUUUUUAUUAAACUAAGCUACAAGUACUACUUUCGUCCAAAAAAAAACGCUACAAGUACUACUUACCUGACAUAGUAUCUUUUAUUUUAAACGUCUUUAUUUGCUGAUGGUAACCACUUUUCCAAUCGAAAUCUUCUGGUAUAUAAAUGUUGUGGGAUACAUUUCUGAAUGUAAUUUGGGAAAGCGUGCCAAAUGGUUGUGCUAUUCAUGAUAUUUUGAUGCUUGUUCACAGAAUUCUGAAUGUGUUUGUUCUAAAACAAUUGGUUAAUGUUAUUGCAUCUGUCUUGUAGCACUGCUGUGGUUGCUUACUGCAGCAUGUAUCAAGACGGGGAGGCCUCAGACUGCUAAGAGAGCAAUUGAACAGGUGGAGCAGAGGCUCUCAAAGGACGGGUGGCCAGAAUACUAUGACGGCAAGGCAGGGAGAUAUAUCGGGAAGCAAGCGAGGAAGUACCAGACUUGGAGCAUCUCCGGAUAUCUGUUAGCUAAACUGAUGAUCGAGAACCCAGCCAAUCUUUCACUCAUCUCUCUUGAAGAGGACAAGAAGAUAGCCAAGCCAAGGCUCACCCGCUCCGCUUCCUUUUGAGUCAAACCAGUGGCAGCAGCAUACAUGAUGCAUUACAGGUAUAUGAGAUUUCUCUUUACCCAUGAAUGCUGGAGGGAAACUAGCUGAUAAAACUGAUUGAGUUGCAGUUUUGUGAUUCAUUAACAUGAUUUGCUAGUAUGCUACUGAGAUAUACAGCCCCUGCAUUUUCCUUUGCAGUUUCUUAAUAUCUGGCUUUGAAUAGUAAAUGGUCUAUAAGCAUUUUGGAAAGUAAUGCAACAUGGCCAUUGUUCUGCUUACCAAUUAUUUGGCUAAGUAUUUCAAGCUUUUAUGGUGGGAAUUUGCCUCCUAUUUUCCUUUGCACUGUCAUAGGUUCUUUUGAUAGAUAUCGGUUUUGUUGAAUAAUUUCUAUACUUGGUGUACGUUAAGUGUUUCGAAGGCCAAUGGCACAAAGUUGUGAUGGCAGAUUAAGAGGGCGACAGAGUCUGCUGAAGGUUGUGUUAAAGACUUCAUCUUUGGAUAAAAAAGGCAACCUGAAAGAGAAAUUGAGAAGCUGGCCCUUAACAGUGCAAAGGAACAUCCUUAGUUAAAUAGGCAGUUAACAAUGUAUUGAGAAUGAUUCUACUGUUCUUGUUAGUUUUAUGUGGUGAUAUUUGGACCUUAUGUGGUGAUAUUUCAUGUCUUGUUUCAUUUCAUGUACUGCUGAGAUAAAACCAAAUUCAGUAUGGAUAUGAUUCUUGGGCAGUGUUUUAUAAUUUUGGAAUCCUUUGCAUUAUUUGGAAAUGGUCACAUAACGAUAGAAAUUCUUAUUAGAUCGGUUAACAUGUCCUAUUCAAAAAAUUAACGACACAUGUGAAUGUUGUCAUAGAUAUGCAAAUACAAUUAGUAUUUUUUCUCAUGUCGUACAAGAUUAUACAUAUACAAAUAGAAAAUAGAUGGUUUCAUCUAGGAAUAUCUUUUAAAGAAAUAUUAUUUUUAUCUACUACUGAGGGGAGUGAAGGUGAAGACAUGCAUCUCCAAUGUCCUCUCCUUGACCUCCUCGGUUUGUACUCAAACUUCAUAAACAAAUUCACUUGAAACACAAAACCAAGCAGAGAAAAUGGAUGAAUUUGGUCUUCAAAAUCUCUUUGCCUCAGAAUCUGACCGCAUGCCCUCACAAAAUUCCUUAAGCUGAUCAAAAUCUCUUUGCCUCAGAAGCCAUUUCUCUUGUUUUACAGGUAAAAAAUGAAAUAGAAAAGAAUACUUGUGAGCUCUGUUUCGUCAGUUAAUUUCUCUCUUCUUGCAAUUGGUUUCCUGGCUUCCACAAUUUGCUUCACUAAUGCAAUAACUUUCUCAUCCAAUGCCAAAUAUUCUGGGGCUCGACCUCCAGGGAUUACAAGAGCAUCAUAACUUGAGACAUAUAGAGCUUCAAAGUCAGCUGUUAAAGUGAAAUUAUGGCCCGGCUUCUCACUGUAUGUUUGGUCACCUUCAAAAUCAUGGACAGCAGUUGCACAGAUUUCACCAGCUUUCUUCUUGGGGCAAACUGCAUCAACAUGGCAUCCUAGAGCUUGAAGAGACUGAAAAGGCACAAUUACCUCAUAAUCUUCCAUGAAGUCCUACAAGAGUUGAGGGAGAGAGAGUGAAUGAUGCUUAGUAACUGUGAGAAAUAUAAAACUAAAGAAGUCUUUUAAAAUUCAUAAAGGAUGUACUUGUCUAUGUAUCAUGUUUAGAAGCCAUAAUUCAAACAACUUGAGAAAUAACCAGUAUGCAUGUUUGGAUUUACUUUCACAAGUUCACAAUUCACACAAAUGACCUGACAAACAAGUAUUCCAAUGGGCAACGGACCCAGGUAGGCAGACCAAUGAAUCAUACCACCAUAACAUUGAAAAAACACAUAGGAAUGAGCGAUGGAACCUUAUCACACCAGAAUGGUGGCAAAUCUGGUAAAGCCUAUUCAGGUUAUUUUCACCAUCUUUCAGAAGUAUCUGUAAAAGGGCAAAUCUUGAUACCAUAUAGACUCAAUAUUGAUCGGCAUCACAAUUUCAUAUUUCUCAUUGCACUACGAAGGAAAAUAAAACUUACCCCACAGAGAAACAGGAUCCUCCUAUCUGAACCAGUUAUGUUACCUCCUAGUGUCUUCACAAAAAGCCUAAUUAAUUCAGGAUGGCCUUCAUAUGUAGCCCCAGUAAUUAUAUUACCAUCAACAACACACACCAACAAGGUCUCGGGUUCCACCCAAUAAGCACCUGCAGCAACAAGUACAGGUCUGACAGCUGGGAAGGCUUUACACUUCCUACCUUUAACCGAGCCUGCAGCUGCUGGGACAAGUUGCCCUUGGCAAACUGAAACAAUUGGCUUUCAGGAGUCAGAAAACUUUCUCACCAAUUCUAAAACCGACGCAUCCAAAGCAAGAUAUUCAGGUGCCCAUCCUCCUGGUAUUAUUAAUCCAUCAUAUUUGUUAAAUUCAAUGUCAUCAAAUGUUGCAUUGAGUGCGAAAUUGUGACCACGUGAUCCAGAAUAAGUCUGCAACCAAAGAAAAAAAAUAGAGAAAACCAAAAAACAUAUUAAAACAAAGGGGGACCAGAAAGACAUGUAGCAUUUGAAGAUUUGUAAAUUAAACACAGAUCACGAUUCAGCAAACCUAGGUAGCCCAUUAUCAGAUUAUUUUCACUUAGAGACGAGGGCACUAAUGCAAUUUUAUUUAUUGAACAUGGUGUACGCAGUGACGUUGGAGCCAAUAAUUUGUUCACGCUGUCUUGUCCCCAGAACUCAAGCUCAAUACAGGCUGGUUCUCUAGCUCAUAAUGAAUGAGCAAGCACUCUAACAAAACUCCUAACAUGUGUUCUUGUUUGAGCUUACUUUAGUCUCGCUGUCCACACAACCUAGAACUAUAACCUACGGAUUGCUAUUUUUCAAUCUAAUAGUGGCUCUAAUCAACAAUAUAACUUAUUCAUUUUGUCUAUAAUUAAGGCUACCAACGAUUUGCUGAUGCAAAAAACUAAACUUGAAAGCGUGAUGUUCGUUCGUAAACUUGACAAACUAAUUUCCAGUCCCAACAGAUUCCAAAUUUUUGAGGAGGCAACAUAAUCCCAUAUGCGAGAAUUGUAAGCACUUCAAUCUUUGAGACAAAUUUCUUGUUUUGGGUUUACAAAUUCAAGUGAAGUAAGCAUUAAUCUUCAAUCUAAUUUAGUGUGCUUAAUUACAGAGCAUGGAAAAGACCAAUUGACAGUGCUCAAGUGAUGUAAUGAGGCUAAAGAAAACGAUUUUCAUUAAAAAUAGAAAAAAGAAAAGGCAAAAGAAGCAGAGGUGGGUGACCUGGUGAGCAGGAGAAAGUUGAUGAAUGGUUGUGCAGCAGAUAUCACCAGCUUUCUUGCCAGGACAGACGGCAUCAACGGACACUCCAUAUGCCUGCAGUGCUUGAAAUGGAACCAUCGCCUCGUAGUCUUCCACGUAGUCCCCCAAUACCAGCAACACCCUGCGUUCACCUUUCGCCAUUUUCUUGGAAUUUGAGAGAGAGAGAGAGAGAGAGAGAGAGAGAGAGAGAGAGAGAGAGGGAGAGAGAGAAUUUGGUUGGAUUAAACUCUUAGAUGGAUAAAGAAAUCGAAUAUGCUUAAAACGUAUUGCCGCGCGGCUAUGCUCUAUAAAUAGAACAUGUUAAACGGUUAGCCGAGCGGCGAUACUAUAUAAAUAGAAUAUCAAAACGUAUAGCUGCACGGCUAUACUGUUCAUAUAGAAUAUCUAACAGUAUAGCCGCUCGGCUGGACUUUAUAAAUGGAAUAUGUUAAAAAGUAUAGCCGCCCGGCUAUACUCUAUAAAUAGAAUAUGUUAAAAGUAUAGCCGCCGGGCUGGAUUUUAUAAAAAGUAUAGCCGCCCGGCUGGACUUUAUAAAUAGAAACCCCCUUCCUUGAACAUUGGUCAAUUCUCACUUUACCCCCUCAAAGUUAAAGUGACCGACUUUGCCCCAUUGACCAAUGUUUCGUGUUUCACUUAACCACUUUCCGUCAACGCCAUUCCAAUUUCCAUUAAACUAAUGACGUGGCAGGGGUAGUUUGGUCAAUUCAACUGAGCUGGGAUUCCACUUUCCGUCAACGCCAUUCCACUUUCCGUCAAAGCUUGAUAAAACCAAGCUGCAGAAAAAAACAAAGAAAACUAAAUCCACAAAACAAGAAAAAUAAACACAAUGACACAAAAAAAGGAAAACAAAAGUAACAAAGAAAACACCAAGAUGAUCGUUCUAAAUGUAACAACAUAACAUGGCCAACAAGGCAGAGGAGGCCACAACAAAGCAACUCUAACAGUAAAAUAUGAAGAAAUGUGCAGAACAAAAUCCCAUACCACUAAUGGAAGAGGAAGCAAUUAGAUGACGUAUGAUCAUCGACAAUCACAAGAGCAAGAAAUAAGAAACACAAUUGUGAAAUCAAAACCAAAUGAAAAAGAAUAAUACGUUAAUGGUCAAUGACCAACGCAAACAUGAUAGAGUGGUCGCAGACAGAAUCUCCUCAAUUUUCCUCUGAGACAAUUCCCACGGGAGCCACCACACAUAGCGAUCAUGGCAAUCUGCAAAUCGCAAAUCUACAUGUGAGUGUGGUGAUCCGACUGUGCCGGAGAUGGAGAAACAUAGAAAACAGAGAGUAAGAGAAACAAAGAAACUGAAAAACUGAAACAGCACUUCGAUUCAUCUCCGUAUAUUGACGUUCUUAAUCAAAGUUGCGAUACUAAAACGCAAAACCAAAAGGUGGAAUAGUUAUGCAGUUGGUGGAAUUGGGAAGGCAAUGGGUGGUUCCCGAGAGGAUAAGUCUGUGUCGAAACUUGGUUAUCUGAUGUUUUUCGGAAAUCUUCUUUACAAGUUAAAUCCUUGAACACACUCACUCAUAUUGUUAAUACGACUGAAUAAAUGGCCUAGGCGGGCACUAGGCGGGCUAGGCAGUCUAGGCGGUCUAGGCGGGCGCUAGGCGGUCAUGCUAUGAGAGAGAGAGAGAGAGAGAGGUCGCCGGUUAUGUCAGAGCGAGAGAGAGGGGCUAGAAGACGGCUCGUGUUCGAAUGAAUUCAAGGAGAUCCAUUUUGUCUCAUAGUCAUUAUAUUCUAUUUAUAGCUUAUAACCACACGGCUACACUUUUUGAUAUUCAUAUGCUAUAGCCGCACGGCUAUACCUUUAACGUAUUAUACAAUAUAACCGCAGCUAUACUCUUUAAUAAUUCUAUUUAUGCGCCACAGGUCAAAACGAGUAUUUUUUGAAAAAAAAUUUAAAACACCGAGUAUAUAUACAUAGUGGGAUCCUUCUUUUCUUUUAAAUUUUUUGCCCGAUUUUUGUUUAUCGAUAAAAGUAGUUUAUAACAUUAUUUAUUACUAUCUGGCUUGGAUAAGAAUCGAAUGGCAAGGUAUGGUAUGAAAGGGUAAAGGUUGCAAGAAUAUUGUGCCUCAUAAAGUAUGACAAGUUUAGACCAAUAUGCAAGAAGAGAGAAAUUAAUUGAAGAAACAGAGCUCACAAGUAUUCAUUUCUAUUUCAUUUUUUUACCCAUAAAACAAGACAAAUGGCUUCUGUGGCAAAGAGAUUUUGAGCAACUUAAGGAAUUUUGUGAGGGCAUGUGGUCAGAUUCUAAGGCAAAGAGAUUUUGAAGACCAAACUCAUCCAUUUUCUCUGCUUGGUAUUGUGUUUCAAGUGAAUUUGUUUAUGAAGUCUGUACAAACAGAGGAGGUCAAGGAGAGGACAUUGGAGAUGUAUGUCUUUACCUUCACUCCCCUCAGUAGUAGAUAAAAAGAAUAUUUCUUUAAAAGAUAUUCCUAGUUGAAACCAUCUAUUUUCUAUUUUUAUAUGUAUAAUCUCGUACCGCAUGAGAAAAAUACUAAUUGAUAAUUGUAUUUGCAUAUCUAUGACAACAUUCACAUGUGUCGCUAAUUUUUCGAAUAGGACCAUCUGUUAACCGAUCUAAUAAGAAUUUCUAUCAUUAUGUGACAAUUUCCAAAUAAUGCAAAGGAUUCCAAAAUUAUAAAACACUGCUCAAAUGCCUAAGAAUCAUAUCCAUACUGAAUUUGGUUUUAUCUCAGCUGCAAGGUGAAGAUCAUACAUGAAAUGAACAAAACAUGAAAUAUCACCACAUAAAACUAACAAGAACAGGAGAAUCAUUCUCAAUACAUUGUUAACUGCCUAUUUAACUAAGGACGUUCUUUUUCUUUUUUUUUCCAAAAAAAAAGACUAAUGAUAUUCCUUUGCACUGUUAAGGGCCAGCUUCUCAAUUUCUCUUUCAGGUUGCCUUUUUGAUCCAAAGACGAAGUCUUUCACACAACCUUCAGCAGACUCCCUCUUAAUCUGCCAUCACAACUUUGUGCCAUUAGCUUUCCAAACACUCAACGUACACCAAGUAUAGAAAUUAUUCAACAAAACCGAUAUCUAUCAAAAAAACCUAUGACAAUCGCAAAUUACCAAUGAAGAAAUUGAAAGUUUUCUAAGACAGAGGAAAAAGGAACAUGAACGCAGAGAAGAAUCACAGCUCAGCUAAAGGCAUCCUGCCUUAUAAUAUAGAUGGUGAGACAAAACAUGCUUUACGUUAAACAAUCUAGUCUUGAACUACCUAAUAAUACCUCAGCACUAAUCUUAGCCAUAAUCUGCUUCAAAGGCCAAGAUGCUAUCCUUACAGACAGAAACAAAUUUUUAAAAAAGACAAUCAACAACACCUCUAGCAGGCAAGGUACUUUGCAAUAACAAACUCCUUUCAUGUCUGCACCUAUUUCUAAAUUCUGACUCGGAAAAUUUGUCACUAUUCCAUUGAGCAUCAUAUAGUUCUAGUUUCAUGAACACUCCUACAAGCAGUCUACUACACAAACUGGUUCACGUUAUCAUUUUGAUAAUGAGAUAUGGCAACAGGAGAGACGUCGUAUAACAAAAUCAGUUCAAAUCACAUAACCCAAAUUUGGUCCACAACUAGCAACUGAAGUUCAAGCCCAAAAUCUAAAGACCCCAAAAUUUUGAACUAAAAGUGCAAACAAGAAGAGAAAAUUGUAACCCCAAGACUAAUUUUCAUUUUCUCCCUACCAUUUCUUAACAGGAUCCAGUAGUAAUUUUACAGAAAGAAAUUGCCCGAAGAACAAAGAACAUACAGGGUCCAGAGCAUUGGGCCCAAAGCCAUAAUCAGCAGCCAAAGAGUAAAAGUACAGACUUUGACACUAGUUCAAAUCUGAACUUGAGGGUCUGAGGUCUUUUAAGAGUCAUUAUAUAUAGUUAUUUUUGCCCCUGUCUAUAUAUUGAGAGGAAAACAAAUCUGAACUUGUCUUAACCACUUGCGCCAUCACACGAAAACCUAAAGUCAUUAUGCUACUUCCCUUCCCUACAUGAAAAAUCACGUAAUGCUCUCCUAAACUGCUAUCUCAAAAUCCAACAUUAGGCUCUCAAUAUAAUCUUAACAAAAUUCAAGAGCAUAUUUUCUACUGAUUUACGACAAUUGAAAGGUGCCCUCAUACAACAAUUGUCAAGAGCAUGUUCAAACAAAUUAAAACCCCUACAUUAUCUAGCGUUUCAAUCAAAAUUCAAAAUUGAAAAAUUGCAAAAGCUAUGAAUAAUUGAAUACUAAAAUUUACAAUGAAUGAACAGAGGCAACAGACCUUGACGACAAGGGGAGAGAGAGAAUGCGUUUGGAUGCUGGAGAGCGAGAACUGAAAAGUCGGCCUAGGCUGUGGCUAGGCGGGCGCAAGGCGGCUAGGAGGCUAGGCGGUGGCUAGGAAGGCGCAAGGCAGCUAGGCGGUGGCUAGGCGGGUUGGGUCUUUUUUCGGGGCCCAACCCGGAGGACGAAGCAGUGACUGGGAGAGAAAGUUCCGUCCUCUGCGAGUGCAAGCUUCGUGUUCGUUGGAAUAUAUUUAAAGAGUAUAGCCGGUCGGCUGUACUUUUAAAAUAUUCGAAUGUAAUUAGAAAGUAUAGCCGUGCGGCUUCAGUUUUGCUUUGUCCAGCGCGUGCAGCAUCUGCUAUGAGAGCUCUUUGCUUUAAACUCAAGGAAGGAGAAAGGACGCUCUGAUACCACUUGAUGCAUCAAGUAUGAACUCGCAGAGCUUGUUACUAACUAUUGUCCAAUUGAAUUGGACUGGUCCUGUGAGUUGAAAUAGUACCAAUAACAACACACUUUGAGAUACUAUAGUUUUUUUAGUGGGCAAUUCAAAUUUGAGGCAGGUGUUUUCUUAUAUUUUAUUUUACAGGUUGUCCAUCCUUGGAGACCUGUGUUUUAAACUACCCAACAAUGCUAGGCACAUAUAAAAUAAUGUACCUAAUUACUAGGUACAUAUAACAUAAUGUACCUAACACAUAAGUAGUAUACUCUACCUGAUAAACAUGUAGAUUUUAGAUAAAAUGUGUGGAUUUGAGUGAUACAACCAAUAAUUGUAAAACGCCACAACAAAAACAUGGGAAAAAUAGUAAAAUCUGGAAGAUAAUUAACUAUCAAGAAACAAAGGAAUCGAAAAUGAUGUGGGGGGGAACACAAAACCCGCAUGUGUUAAUGGUUAAUUGCAUCUUAAUUAAAGAUAUUAGGUGGGAAUGAACUUUAUAGCAACAAAAACAUGAAGACAAUGAGAGUAAAUUAGUGAGGAAUUGUAUUAUCAAAGAAGAAAACAUACAAACAAAAUCAGUGAAUAACAAAAGCUAUGGCAAAUAGUAAAAGAAUAUUUAUGUACCUUAUGUAUUGGUUGCCAUAAUGCAAGAAUACAAAGCUACAACAUAAAGAAAGCCAACAUUCAUAUAGGAGCAUGACUGAAAUAUAAUAGAUAUUUCAAAAAUUAUAGGAGACGUGAUUUGUUCAAAAAUAUGGAUGUAUUAUUGAAAAAUACGUACGUACGUGUAUAAUAGAAUAUUAAAAUAGGGAAAAUAAAGACUCGGGUAAUGGCUUGUGGAUAGUGUUAUAAACCACUCUUAUCGAUAAACGAAAAUCACAGAAAAAAUUUAAAAGAAAAAAAGGAUCCUACUAUAUAUAUUAAUUUUUUUUUAAAAAUAGAAUAUCUAACUGUAUAGCCGUGCAGCUAUACGCUAUAAAUACAAUAUAAUGACUACGAGAUAGAAUGGAUCGCCUCGAAUUCAUUCGAAGACGACCGUCUUCUAGCCCCUCUCUCUCGUUCAGAUAACCGGCAACCUCUCUUCUUCAAUCCUCAUCUCUCUCUCUUUCUCUCUCAUAGCACCAUCGUCAUCUCGUCCCUGACCUUGGAGAUUCCAAAAUGGCUUUUUCUUUUUCCUAGGGGCAAGCGCCUUCCUAGACCGCCUAGCAACCAUCUAGACCGCCUAGGGCCCGCCUAGUGACCGCCUAGCAACCGCCUAGACUGCCUAGCCCGCCUAGCCCCAGCCUUGCCCGCCUAGCCCCAGCCUUGCCCGCCUAGGCCAUUUAUUUAUUUUCCUAAGCCUAGGCCAUUUAUUCAGUAAUGUUAACAAUAUGAGUGAGUGUGUUCAAGGAUUUAACUUGUAAAGAAGAUUUUCGAACAACAACAGAUAACCCAGAGAAGUUUCAUGGAGUUAUCCCAAUGGUGGCUGUUGGCCAAGUAAGUCUCAUGGAGAUGGUGUUAUCACAAUGUGCUAUUUGCAUUAGCUCUUUAUCUUUUCUGUUCUUUCUGUUCACGUCUUGUUUUCAUUUGUCUCUGUUACGUGCUAUGUUUAUUUUUCUACUUGAAGCCUAGUGCUAGUUCUAUUUGACUGAGACCUUUCACUUACAUUUCAUGAACAUUAGUACCCACUUUAUAUGAGUAGACAUAGUAUCUUUUAUUCUAAACAUCUUUAUUUGCUGAUUGUAACCACUUUUCCAAUCGAAUCUUCUGGUAUAUAAAUGUUGUGGGAUACAUUUCUGAAUGUAAUUUGGGAAAGUGUGCCAAAUGGUUGUGCUAUUCAUGAUAUUUUGAUGGUUGUUCACAGAAUUCUGAAUGUGUUUGUUAAAAAACAAUUGGUUAAUGUUGUUGCAUCCUGUCUUGUAGCACUGCUGUGGUUGCUUACUGCAGCAUGUAUCAAGACGGGGGAGGCCUCAGACUGCUAAGAGAGCAAUUGAACAGGUGAAGCAGCGGCUCUCAAAAGACGAGUGGCCAGAAUACUAUGAUGGCAAGGCAGGGAGAUAUAUCGGGAAGCAAGCGAGGAAGUACCAGACUUGGAGCAUCUCAGGAUAUCUGGUAGCUAAACUGAUGAUCGAGAACCCAGCCAAUCUUUCACUAAUCUCGCUUGAAGAGGACAAGAAGAUAGCCAAGCCAAGGCUCACCCGCUCCGCUUCCUUUUGAGUCAAACCAGUGGCAGCAGCAUACAUGAUGCAUUACAGGUAUAUGAGAUUUCUCUUUACCCAUGAAUGCUGGACGGAAACUAGCUGAUUAAACUGAUAGAGUUGCAGUUUUGUGAUUCAUUAACAUGAUUUGCUAGUAUGGUACUGAGAUAUACAGCCCCUGCAUUUUCCUUUUCAGUUUCUUAAUAUCUGGUUUUGAAUAGUAAAUGGUCUAUAGGCAUUUUGGAAAGUAAUGCAACAUGGCCAUUGUUCUGCUUACCAACUAUUUGGCUAAGUAUUUCAAGCUUUUAUGGUGGGAAUUUGGCUCCUAUUUUCCUGCCAAAUUCAGUUUGAUAGGUGUGCAAAUAUUUUUCUUUGUGUUGUUGAUAAAAUUAUUUUUGCAAAUGUGCCAAAUUGUGAUUUGGGGAAAUAAGUAAUGUGGGAAACAAUAUAUAUUCAAAAGGCUUGUAGCUCAAGUGGUUAAGACCAGUUCAGAUUUGUUUUCCUCUCAAUAUAUAGACAGGGCCAAAAAUAACUACGUAUAAUGACUCUUAAAAGACCUCGACCCUCGAGUUCAGAUUUGAACAAGUGUCAAAGUCUGUACUUUUACACUUUGGCUGCUGAUUAUGGCUUUCAGCCCAAUGCUCUCGACCCUGUAUGUUCUUUGUUCUUCAGGUGAUUUCUUUCUGGAAGGGUGAAAAUGAAAAUUAGUUUUGGGGUUACAAUUUUCUCUUCUUGUUUGCACUUUUAGUUCAAAAUUUUGGGGUCUUUAGAUUUUGGGCUUGAACUUGAGUUGCUAGUUGUGGACCAAAUUUGGGUUAUGUGAUUUGAACUGAUUUUGUUAUACGACGUCUCUUCUGUUGCCAUAUCUCAUUAUCAAAAUGAUAAUGUGAACCAGUUUGUGUAGUGGACUGCUUGUAGGAGUGUUCAUGAAACUAGAACUAUAUGAUGCUCAAUGGAGUAGUGACAAAUUUUCCGAGAUAGAAUUUAGAAAUAGGUGCAGACAUGAAAGGAGUUCGUUAUUGCAAUGUACCUUGCCUGCUAGAGGUGCUGUUGAUUGUCUUUUUUAAAAAUUUGUUGUUUCUGUCUGUAAGGAUAGCAUCUUGGCCUUUGAAACAGAUUAUGGCUAAGAUUAGUGCUGAGGUAUUAUUAGGUAGUUAAAGACUAGAUUGUUUAACGUAAAGCAUGUUUUGUCUCACCAUCUAUAUUAUAAGGCAGGAUGCCUUUAGCUGAGCUGUGAUUCUUCUCUGUGUUCAUGUUCAGGUUCUUUUGAUAGAUAUCGGUUUUGUUGAAUAAUUUCUGUACUUGGUGUACGUUAAGUGUUUCGAGGGCUAAUGGCACAAAGUUGUGAUGGCAGAUUCAGAGGGCGACAGAGUCUGCGGAAGGUUGUGUGAAAGACUUCAUCUUUGGAUCAAAAAGGCAACCUGAAAGAGAAAUUGAGAAGCUGGCCCUUAACAGUGCAAAGGAAUAUCAUUAGUCUUUUUUUUGAAAAAAAAAAAUUUGAACAUCCUUAGUUAAAUAGGCAGUUAACAAUGUAUUGAGAAUGAUUCUACUGUUCUUGUUAGUUUUAUGUGGUGAUAUUUGGACCUUAUGUGGUGAUAGUUCAUGUUUUGUUUCAUUUCAUGUAUGAUCUUCACUUUCUGCUGAGAUAAAACCAAAUUCAGUAUGGAUAUGAUUCUUGGGCAUUUGAGCAGUGUUUUAUAAUUUUGGAAUCCUUUGCAUUAUUUGGAAAUGGUCACAUAACGAUAGAAAUUCUUAUUAGAUCGGUUAACAGAUAGUUCUAUUCAAAAAAUUAACGACACAUGUGAAUGUUGUCAUAGAUAUUCAAAUACAAUUAGUGAAUAAUUAGUAUUAAAUAUUUUAAUUGACUUCAUGAAUUAUAUUACUUAAUAAAUAGUAAUUAAAAUUUUCUAUUUUUUUCUUUAACAAAAUAUCUAAACACUAAUAAUUGACAAAGUAAAUAAUAUAACUAAAACAUAACUACUAAUUAAAGUAAUUAAAAAAGAGAAAUCCAUAUUAUGCUACUUAAGGGGUAUCGCCGCAUGGCUAUACGUUUAAGAUAUAUGGGGUAGAGCCGCGCGGCUAUACUUGUACUAUAUUAUAUUUUUGGAGUAUAGCCGAAAAAAAUUCUACUUCGGGGUAUAGCCGCGCGGCUAUACGGUGAAGAUAUUCUAUUUUUGGAGUAUAGCCGCCCGGCUGGACUCUAAAAAUAUUCUAUUUUGGAGUAUAGCCACACGGCUAUACGUUUAAAAUAUUCCAUUUUUGGAGUAUAAGUAUAGCCGUGCGGCUAGAUGUUUAAAAUAUUAUAUUUAUAGACUCUUCAAAUAUAUUUCCACAUUACACCAACAAUAAAAAUAUGGAUUUCUCUGUAGGCUUAUAUUUUGAGGUGCCUUUUGUGAAAAUCCCACAUCGAAAAUCCACACUCCAAUAAAGGUGUUUAUAAACAAAGCCCCUGAUAUGCAUAAGAAUAUGUAUAGUUAUUGCAUUUGCUAUAAUAUACCUUACUGGUGACUUACAUAAGCACCUGAUAUGCAUGAUUAUCAAGAUCAAGCAUCAUUGUGUUACAUAAGCACUUGGGAUUUUAUUUUGUUGCAAAUUUAGAAAACCUGCCUUCAUUUUAGUGGAGUUUAUUUCGCCAGUGUAUGUUCCCAAUCAAAUGUUAUUACGAAGCGUCAAAAUACAGAUGAUUUUUCCACAUUCCAGUUUUCUUUUUCCUUGCAAAAGGAGUUGAAUCUAAAAUCUACAAAAAUGACCUCAUGUAAUACUACUUGAGCUGCAUCAUCAUUUGGUUUGCUAAUGUACUUUUUUUUAUUAGAAGAUGGUGUCUUGCAUUUCCCUUUGAAGAGGAACUAGGAAAUAUUGCAAGCGUUAUUGCUGUCACCAAAAUGGACUAAAACCCUUCAGUUUGGGACAGUGAUACUUGUCAUGCAUGGCUUUGGUGCAAUAGUUUCUUAGGAAGAAGCCUAUGAUCUUAAAGACCUGAAUAUUCAUACCUUACCUAGUUGGAAAAAGAACAGGCUUCAUUUGUUUUGGUCAUUGGUGUACACAUAUGGUUUCAUACUUCUAGAAUGUUUAGAGAUGAUGGGAAAAUUCUUGCAUACAAUCAGCUUAUGUAUACACUGUCACUCUCACAUUCAACAUCUCAAAUGUACUAUACACCCAUAUAUAUGCAAAACUUUCACUUGAGGAGGAUAUCUUUGUGGAUCGACCAAAAUAUAAGCCAACUCUGUUUACCCUAGUUUCCGAAUUUUUUUCGUUCUUUACUGAGUGGCAAAAGUAAAGCAAUGCAAAUCUACUUUAGCUACUGUUGAAAAUACCGAUGAUAGAGAAAAAGGGAAUUAAAGACAGGAUUGUUCCGCAAUAAGAUACGAGGAUGAACUCAUAACAUUUUCUGUGUUCGGACAAAAAUGCUGCAGGUUAAAAACCCAUGUAUGCAUACCAAACAGGAGUUUCUAAUCCCGGUAUAUCGUAUAUAGGAAUCUGUAUUGUUGUUGCAGUUGCUAUAAUGGACCUCAUUGGUGACUUAAUGUCUGAUGUGCAUGAUUUCCAAGUUCAAGCAUCGUUGUUUUCGAUUUCCUCAAUUUAAUAACCAUUUAUCUGAAUUUAGGAUUUUUGUUGCAAAUUUAGAAGGAAAAAAAAAGUUAUUUUCUCAUGUAAAUGUACCCAGAAUACCAAUAAAAUGUUAUUGCAAAGUUACAAGCCAAUGCCACUUGAUCUGAACUCUAAAAAAAGAUAUCUCUCGUCCCAAUAUUACUUGACCUAAAAUUUAUGGGCAAAUUAGAAACUUGUAUUUUGAUAAUGGAAAGCCACAAAAAAUCUUGAGUUUCUUUUGGAAGAGGAACUAGGAAAUAUGCAACAAAUUUCCCACUCAUGGCAGCACAGUUGUUCUUAAAUGGCCAGGAAGGAAGAAAAGAUUUAAUUGGAAGUAUAUUGGACCACCAACAUGCUGACCCUAUCUUGACACUGUUUUAUGGACUAACACUCUCCACAAUCAUCUCAUCGCGUGAACAACACAUAACCGGUAAAUAUGAAAGGUGAAGCGUAUACCAUCACCCUACCCCGGGAUAAGAUGCAAAAGAAAUCAAAUCCACUCCAAUAGUUUGCCAGCUUUUACAAUCUUAGUGCAUGUAUUUCAACUUUAGCAGUUGGUUUCGCAUAAGUUUUGUUGCAUUGAUAAAUUAGCAAGUUGAUCAAAGUCACGUUGAACUUAGAUUAGAGGUUCUCAAAGUCUAAAUUCAGCUUAAAUCGACUCUUAUAUCAAAUCAUCCUCAUUACGUGUAGAAUCGCCUGCUCUUGGACUCAUUAUAGUUGUAGCAACAUCACUCUAAGGCCGGAGUCAUAGAUUUGUUGGGCAUGAUAAAUAAGUAGGGAUAAGCAACUCGGCCAAUUUAUGAUUCAUGUUGGAUUGAUUUAAGCAUCAACCUAAUAGCAUAAUCGAACUAAACAAAUCUAUUAAUUCAAUUCAGUUUUCAAACUAGUAUGAUAGGAUAAAAUUAUACACCAAUCUUAACCAAAAACAAAAUACCGAUAAACCCAAUCAAGUUCAUUUUGUUAUCCUUUUCAAGUUGCAGUGCAACAAAUAAAAGAUAAAUCGGUAAAAACUAGUAAUAACUCUGAAAAAGUAAAAAAUUAAACGGGGAUAAUAAAGACUCGGUAAAUAUAUCAUAUAUGACAUAUGAUAUUACUAGUUUGAGGUCCACAAAUUAUAAUUUCCCUGUUACAUAUAGUAGAUAUGCACCUUAAUUAAUACAAAUAUAUUAGUAAUAAACACAAAUAAAUCACAUAUGACAAUCUUAACUACCAUUGAGGUGCUUAAUGUCAUCUAUGAGAACUCAUGCAGUUUCAGAGCUGGUAAGGAGGGCAUUUGUUAAAACUGAUUUGGAGACUAUAAUCUUUCUGACUGAUAUCAUAAAUUCCCAAUUCUUUUAGGCAAAGUGUUAAGACAAACAUAAGAGCAACACAACCAUGUACAGGAUCUGUUCUUGAUUGCCGCUUUCGCUUAUACGUUAGCAACACUUUGCUUCCCGACAUUUAAGCUUUCAAAAAGAAAUCUUGCUGCAAUUCCAAACACUUGGACCGCAUUUUUCACAUGAAAUUUGUUUUUGUUCCACUAUGUUCAGUCUCAUUUCAACACAGAAAAACCUGCAUAUGUUAAGGAAGAAUAUCCAAUUAACUAAACAGCAAGUCAUGACUCAUAUAGUUAGUACAGUUAUGAGUAGCAACAAUCUGAAAUAGUGACUGAAAAGUACUUGUGUCAAAGUGCACUGAACAUGUGUGAAAAUGUUAAAAAGCCCUUGCUCGAGUAUCAAGCUGAAAUAAUUUUGAUAGAUAUGAUUUGUCUGAUGGUCUGAUCUUAUCCCUUCUGAGGUUAUAGGAAUUUUUCAUAGGAAGAACCUACAAACCGCAUCAGGGGAUUCUCAAAAAAAAACUUUAAAAUUUAUCUCAUUAUUAACUUAACCACCAUAAAUGUCAUUUACCCUUAAAAACCCCACCUAAACUUCCCCUUAAAUAAAAAUUCAGCUUCUCUUGAAAUACAGGAACUCCAUAAAACAGUCAAGUUACAUGAUGGGUGAAAGAUUAAUCCAUGCGCGGUAAAAUCUUGGAUAUCCAAGAGGAUCAAAUCUAUCAAAAGCUUCCUGUCAUCAACGCUUACAGCAAAGGAUUUCUACACAGAUUCUGUGAUUGUUAUUAUAGAUCAUCUUGCAAGUAUAGCAAGAGAAAAUCAAUAGCCCAAGUUUCAGUUGUCCUAUCGGAGUGGCUAUUAAUGUCAUCUGUGAGAACUCAUGCAGUUUUAGAGCUGGUAAGGAGGGCAUCUGUUAAAAUUGAUCUGGAGACUCUAUAAUCUUUUUGACUGAUAUCAUAAAUGAUCAAUUCUUUUAGUAGCUAGUUUUAUGGGGCAAAGUGUUAGACACGCAUUAGAGCAACACAACCAUGUAGCGGGAAUGAAAAUAUUAAUAUGGAUGGUAGGAGUGACUUCUAAAGGACAAUUAAAAAUCAAUACAAAAGAAAAACACUGGGAGUGAACCCUGUUAGUGAUAAGUUAACAGAAGUUAAUGUGAUAGGAACAUGUACAACAUAGACCACCAAAUGUACCUAUAACCGAAGGAAGACUAGUUAAAGAUAAAUAAGGGCAUGUACGAUGGUGAGGCUUAGCUAUCAACAUCCCUAAGGAAAGGACAAUCACUCAUUAUGUCAGACACCUGGCCAGGCUUGAGGCAUGCAUGGUUCUCCCAAUACGAUUGGCCUUUUUAUUUUCUGCCUGCAAUGUAGGCGAAAUCAAAUAGAUCUCUAGAUAAUGAUCCACUGUCAAUCACUCUUGGUCUUCACCUCUUAAGUUCCCAGAUUUUCUUCUCACUUGGUAGUUGGAAUUUAGAGCGCUAUUUUCUGUUCACAAAUACUAUGACUGUCCCCCCACAGUGCAUUUCUAUUAUCUGUGCUAUGUCCACAAACUCAAAAUAAGAAGUCAACUUCAGAGUUGAGACUUUUAUAAUGAUGCUUCAUCUUAGACUCCGCGCAAAUUUUAUACAGAGGGAGCAGGUCACAAGUAAGGAGUAAAAUGCACUCAUCAAACCUAGAUAAUUAUUUAUGCAUUUCGUAGCUCCUCUAUACCAACUGUACCAACUUCAUGAACUUCAAUUACUUGUGGUCCCACACUCCCCUUGUGAAGUAUUUCCGAUGAAACCUUUCCUUGAGGCUUAUCAUUAUCAUAUGUACUCAUAAAAACUGCCUGGUGUCCCAUCCAGCCUAAAAUACUGUUGCACUAGAUUAGCUAGGCUCUGUAUGACCUUAUAAAGCCUUUCAAGAACUUCAGGUGUUGCACCAUAACACGAAAACCUAAAGUCAUUAUGCUACUUCCCUUCCCUACAUGAAAAUUCACGUAAUGCUCUCCUAAACUGCAAUCUCAAAAUCCAACAUUAGGCUCUCAAUAUAAUCUUAACAAAAUUCAAGAGCGCAUUUUCUACUGAUUUACGACAAUUGACAGGUGCCCUCAUACAACAAUUGUCAAGAGCAUGUUUAAAAAAUUAAAACCAAUACAUUAUCCAGCGUUUCAAUCAAAAUUCAAAAUUGAAAAAUUGAAAAAGCUAUGAACUAUUGAAUACUAAAAUUUACAAUGAAUGAACAGAGGCAACAGACCUUGACGACAAGGGGAGAGAGAGAAUGCGUUUGGAUGCUGAAAAGCGAGAACUGAAAAGUCGGCCUAGGCGGUAGCUAGGCGGUAGCUAGGCGGCUAGGCGGAUAGGCGGUGGCUGGGCGGGUGCUAGGCGGCUAGGCGGGUUGGGUCUUUUUUCGGUGCCGAACCCGGAGGACGAAGCAGUGACUGGGAGAGAAAGUUCCGUCCUCUGCGAGUGCAAGCUUCAUAUUCGUUGGAAUAUAUUUAAGGGAGCUUCACUAAUAUACUCAAAAUGGGAGCUAAAAUUAUAAAAAAACCCUACAUGGAAUGCGCUUUAGAAAUACACCCAAAAUCCAUUUACUAUAUAAAAAAUUAGUGUUGAAGUUCCUAUAAAUUACAGGACUGCCACUGAUGCCCAACAGAAAAAAAAAAAAAAAAAAAAAAAAACUCAAAAAACACCUAAAACAAGCCCAGCCCAAUUUUAUAAAAACACCCAAACUUUUUUUUUUUUUUUUUUUGGUUACAAAAAGUCCAAACAUUUUAUUACAACAUAAAACUGUCUCGAAAACCGUAACUUCAAGCAUGCAUCUUCAUUAAACCAUCUCUGCAAAACGUCUCUUCAUUUCACCGUCUUCAUCAUUUAUGCAAACUGAAACUCCAUAACUACCACCAAACUUGAUCUACUUUCAAAAACCAACACCACACACUAACCUCCACCUACAAAACAAAGACAAAAUUUCAGAGAACAAUUUCAACAAGAAAAGGCUUCAGAGGUAAGACAUUUAAAAACCAAACCUUUAGUAUAAUGUUGACUAAUUGCUAUAAAGUUCCAGUCUAUGGUAAUAACAGUAUUUUAGAUUCGAAUCCAAGACAAAAUCUUGAAACUAUAUUGGAUUUUCACUAUUGGACUAACUGCAUAUGACUAUAAAAUAGUCAGUUUUCAGCAACUCAAAAAAGAAAGAGAUAUUUAGUCAAAUACAGAUUCUUAACACUUUACUGUCAUGUUGAUUAAUUGUUGUAAAGUUCCAGUAUAAGGUAAUAACAUUGCUUGUUUCCUAUGGAAUCCUAUUUCUAAUGCAUGUCGACCACUAUAAAGUUCCAGUCUAAGGUAAUAACACUCUUAGUUUCCUAUGAAAUCCUAUUUUUAAUGCAUAUCUACCACUGUAAAGUUUCAAUCUAGGGUAAUAACAGUAUUUUAGAUUCGAAUCUAGGACAAAAUCUUGAAACUAUAUUGGAUUUUCAUUAUUGAACUGAGUGCAUAGGACUAUAAAAUGGUCGGCUUUCAGCAACUCAAAAAAGAAAGAAAUAUUUAGUCAUAUACCCAUUGUUAACAUUGCUAGUUUACUUUCAUGUUGAUUAAUGGCUGUAAAGUUCCAGUAUGGGGUAAUAACACUGAUCGUUUCCUUUGAAAUCCAAUUUCGAAUGCAUGUCUACCACCGUAAAGUUCCAGUAUAGGGUAAUAACACUACUUGUUUCCAAUGAAAUCCUAUUUUGAAUGCAUGUCUACCACUAUAAAGUUCCAAUAUGGGGUAAUAACACUGCUUGUUUCCUAUGAAAUUCAAUUUCUAAUGCAUGUCUACCAUUGUAAAGUUCCAGUAUAGGGUAAUAACACUACUAGAUUCUUCUGAAAUCCUAUUUAUAAUGCAUGUCUACUCCUUAUAAAGUUCCAGUAUAGGGUAAUAACACUGCUAGAUUCAUCUAAAAUUCUAUUUCUAAUGCAUGUCUACUCCUUGUAAAGUUCCAGUAUAGGGUAAUAACACUUCUAGUUUCAUAUAAAAUCCUAUUUCUAAUGCAUGUCUACCACGGUAAAGUUCCAGUAUAAAGUAAUAACACUGCUUGUUUUCUAUGAAAUCCUAUUUCUAAUUCAUGUAUGUAAAGUUCCAAUAUAAGGUAAUAACAUUGCUACCUAACAACAAAUUAUAGUCGACUCAAAAAUCAAUAGUGCAUAAACAGAAAAAACACGAAUAUACUCAGAUUCAAUUGAAAAAAAAUACCUCAAUUAAUAUGAUAACCGAAUCAAAUAUCACAAAUUUGUAACCACAACUCAAACCAAACACAAAAGCAAAUCCACAACCAAACAAAAUCUGAAAUCAAUCCAAAUUAUAAACAUAAAGAAAUUAAAAUCACAAUUUAAAACUCAAACGAAUAUCUAAAUACAAAUUAGAACGAAAUCAGAAAAUCCAAUAGCUUAUCUCCAAAUCGACAAUAACAAAAAUAAACAUAUAAAAUCAAGAAGAAUGAGAUCUACGUUUCAAAUUUAAACUCCAAAACUACAAAAAUUAUGAUAACUUAACCAGCAACUUAAUUAAUUGAACAUGAAAUCACCCAAAUCAAACUACAAUAAAAUCAAAUAUGAAUUCAAAUUAAAAAAAAAUCAAAUACCUCAAAAUCGAAGAUCGCAGAUUGAAUAGGAUUUUCUACUAAGCCAAGUCACCAAUGCACCAUGAGCCAUUUCAUCCCCUGAAUCCACCAAGUCAUUGUUCAUUUGCUCAUGUUGCAAAUCCUCCAAAUUUUUCACAGAUCCAACAUCUAAUGGAUUGCCAGUGCCAGUGCGUCUGACUUUAGCUUUUGUCGUGCCAUUUGGACUAACAUGCUUGAAGGCAGAGCCUUCGUCAACUCCAUCUUCCAAAGCAUUACUGCUUGAUGUUCCCUGAAUUGAGAUGGCUACAAGUUUUGAUCCACGGGCUUGGAAAGGGGUCUCUUAGUUUUCCUAUAUCCAAAAGAUGAAUUAAGUAGAAUUAGAAGAAAUAGUUACCUUACACAAUCAGAAUCCUAUGACGUCAUCAUUCUUAUUCUUUUUUAGAGAGAGAUAUAUAUAUAUAUAUAUUUGAGAACAGAGCUUAGGAUUUCAUCGUCAAAACUGAGGUGGAAGAACAAAAACUGAAAAUUGGGGUUGAAGAUGAAGAUGAGAGACUGGAGGUGGUGAGUUCUGAUAUGGUGUUUAUUAGGAAUUCCAAUUUUAUGUUAAAAGGGUAAUAAAGGUAUUUCAUCUUAUAAUUAAAUUAAAAAAUAUACAGCUGUUGAUUUUUGGGUUUAUUUUGGGUGUGUUUAUAUACAUUAAAUAGUAUAGGGUAUUUUUAUAGUUUUAUGCCUAGAAAUGGGUAUUUAACUAAUUUUCUAUAUAUUUAAAGCGUAUAGCCGCUCGGCUGUAAUUUUAAAAUAUUCGAAUGUAAUUAGAAAGUAUAGCCGUGCGGCAUCAUUUUUGCUUUGUCCAGGGCACGUGCAGCAUCUGCUAUGAGAGCUCUUCGCUUUAAACUCAAGGAAGGAUGCAAAAUGCAGAAAGGACGCUCUGAUACCACUUGAUGCAGUUCAAGUAUGAACUCGCAGAGCUUGUUACUAUUUUUUUCCCUUGUGGAUUUCCUUACUACUCUUCAACUUGUUUCUUACUUGUUUUGCACUUCAAAGUACGCUGAUAAUCUCGUUGGCUAAAAAUGUAUGUGAAUAAUUUCACAAUCUACUGUCUACUAGAUCCCUCCACUAGUUUAUGAAUCUUCGAGGUAAUUUAUUUCAUGAAAAAGUAAACUAAAGUCAUAAUUUCAUUUAAUAUGGAGAAAGAGUAUGCCUUCUGCCAUUACUCAGACUAUUUUUUUUUUUUUAAUUUCUUGCUGAAGAUAUGAUAGAGAUUCAUGGUCAUUUCAGAAUCCUCAUGGUGGUUUUGGAUUAUUAAGCAUAUCUUAUUACAUGGGCUUCUUCUUGUUCUAGGAAUAGUAUGCUGAUAAUAUUGCAGAAGCCUCAGGAAUAUGAUUUGAUGUGGUAGAAAUAGACCAGCUUGACCAAAUGAGAAUACAGUAUGCUGAUUAUUUGCCGAUAUGCUCUACGUUUUACUUGUUUGGUUGGCAGAUUGGGGACCGAAGGUUGAUGUUGUUGUUUUUUGUUUUCUUGACCUUGUUUCAAAUUAUGAACCCCCAGAUUCACUUGCGGAGUGGCUUGAAGCUGGUGAACAGCCUGUCUAUAUUGGAUUUGAUAGCCUUGUGAGUUUGUUGCAGCUUUCUCUAUUCAUGUUUAAUAUUCUUUGCCCAGUUCUAUCCCAGAGUAGCUCUGUUUGUCCUUACCCUAAAAAAAUUACUUGUUCCUUCCCAAUUAAAACAAUCAACCAAAGCCACAAUCUCCAAAGAGUGACCACCUUCAUGUUGGUCCCCAACGAAUCGACAGAUGACAGAUGACAAAUCGACCCUUUGGUUGUUCAGUUGUUCAAUAUCUAAUUUGACUGAGGCAUGUCUAAAACAUGCAGAGUAUACCUCUGAAUUGCAUAGUUAAGGUUACUUGAUUGUGCAUUUGAUUGAAAUGGUAAAUUGUCUUGCUUGCUAAAUUUUUUUUUUAUGUGCAUUGUAUUAGCCUCUUGAAGAACCAGAGAAAAUGAUCAAUAUUAUUCUUCAAGCUCUGGAAAUAACUGGACAGAGAGGCGUCAUCAACCGAGGCUGGGGUGGCCUUGGUAAUUGUAAGUCCUGAUUCUUAAAAAAAGAUUAUUUUCAAGCACAUUGUAUUCUUAUGCUUCUUUACUUCUGAAAGCCUUCCUAUAUUUCUCUUCUUAGUGGACAAUUGCCCCCUUGAUUGGCUAUUCCAACGAUGAUCUGCUGUGGUAAAUUUCAAUGCUUUUAAUUCUUUUUAAAGUUAUUGCAAUUCAAUUGCUAUAGUUGUACAAGAAAAUCUGUCUUUAGGUCAAACUACAUUAAUGUAUUUGAUACACAACAAUUUCUCCUGAAGCCACUUUUGGUGGGGCUUUUAACCCUAGGGCCACUCCAGAGGACCCUAGGGUAUAGCCGCAUCAAAAAAAGAGUACAUAUUUAAAGGAUCGCAUCAAAAAAUGACAAUAAAAAAGGAUCGCACAUAUUUAAGAUUCAAUCUAUUAUAAAGACGGCAUUCCUGCAUUCAUAUGAAGUAAAUCGAUGUGAUAAACAUGUCAAUGAUAAAAACUCUAGAUUGAGAGUUUGGAAGUGUUCCAAAUUAUGUCCGGCAAAUGAUCUUCUUGCUUCUUCUUCUUCUGCUUCUUCUUCUUCUUUGCAUUUUUGCUUGAUUUGCCAGAACACAGGAACCAACUCAUGGCUUGUUCUUCUAUCUCUUUACCUCAAAUAUUACUUGAGAGGCAGAGUUGGUUUAAAAUUCACAGAGACGCUAUUCAUUCCACUAUAUAACUUUUCAUUCAUGAACCCUUUUUGCAAAGGUACCCUUUUGUCUUUGGAAAAUACACACUCCUUUUCUCCGGUUAUUCAUCUCUUAUCGCAGGGUUGUUCUUUAGUCGCGCUCAAUCAUGACAAUAUAUAUUUCAGACACAGUGAGGCACUUCCUUAUUUUACAGAUGGAGUAUCUAGCAGACAUUCUGAUAAGAGCAGAACCGUUGGCCACUGGUUUGGCAUCAGAUGUGCAUGGGAAGGUAUGUGCUGGAACACAUUUUGUCACUUCACCAGAUUGAAUUUUCUAUAAAAUAGCUUCUCUAAUAUGGAAAAAGCAAGAGUCUAUUUCCUUUCUAAUAUGGAACAGUCCUAUAGCGAGUUCACUGGUUUUCACCCCAUGGUUUUUCAUUUCAUGCAUCUCUUCACCAGGAUAGAUUGCUAGAAACUAGAAAGUAUGUCUGUCAAAUCAUUCAUGUAUUGAGGUGCCUUUUGUGAAAGUCCCACAUCGAAAAUACACACUUCUAUAAAAGUGUUUAUAAACAAAGCACUGAUAAUCAAGUGAGUAUUGUUAACAUUGGGGAGUUGAGCUAAUAGCCUAGGCUAUGGGCUUUGCUUUCAUUAAUAAUAAUUAUAUUAAUUUUAAAUUGUGAAGAAAUUUUAAAACCAAAACAAAAAAAGAUUUUCUUUUAAUAAAGAGUAUAGCCGCGCGGCUAUACUAUUUAUAAUAUAAAAAAAGACCAGCCCAGAGCAUAGGCCCACGUGUCAAAAGGGUAGAGCCGCACGGCCGUACAAUUUUUUGAAAAAAAAGGGGGGGAAACGAGUAUAGCCGGGCGGCUAGACUAUUUCAUGGGAAAAAAAAAGGGCGGGGGGGAAGAAGAAUCUGGUACAGCCCGGCCUCAGCGCCUGUGCGCCACGUGUCAAACAAGUAAAGCCGCACGGCUAUACUAUGUUUGAAAACAAUUAAGAAAAACUGAGUAUAGCCGUGCGGCUAUACUGUUUAAAAAAUAUAGAUAUAUUACUUUUAUUCAAUAAUAUGUGAGAAUAUGUAUAUAAUACGUGAAUUUUGUGUGCCUCAUUGACAUUUUUGUAAAAAAUACGCAUAUUAAACAUGAGAAAUACGUGCGGACGUGUAUAAUACAUUAUUAAACGUGAAAGUACCAAGAUCUUUAUACGUAUAAUAAUUUUGGAAAACUAGAAAUUCGAAAAGGGACAAUAGUUACUCGAGUAAUGGCCUAAUAGUAAGGGAUUGAGCUCUUGGGCUAUGGAGAAAUUUAAUUGAGACACCCAAACGAUUUCACAAAACACUUAAUAAAUAGAAAUUAAUUAUUUUGUGCACUUUUUCUUUAAUUUUUUUGCAUCAAAUAGUAAUUAAAAUAUAAUUACUAACUAAAGUAAUUCAAAAAGGAUAAGAUAUUACUUAAUUAAAGAGGUAGGCCCAAAAAAAAGAGAGUAAAGAAACUAAAUUUUAAAUUGUGAAGAUAUUUUAAAACCAAAACAAAAAAAGAUUUUCUUAAUAAAGCGUAUAGCCGCGCGGCUAUACUAUUUAUAAUAUAAAAAAAAGACCAGCCCAGAGCAUAGGCCCACGUGUCAAAAGGGUAGAGCCGCCCGGCCGUACAAUUUUUUGAAAAAAAAAGGGGGAAAAACGAGUAUAGCCGGGCGGCUAGACUAUUUCAUGGAAAAAAAAAAGAGGGGGGGGGGGGGAAGAAGAAUCUGGUACAGCCCGGCCCCAGCGCCUGUGCGCCACAUGUCAAACAAGUAGAGCCACACGGCUAUACUAUGUUUGAAAAAAAUAAAGAAAAACUGAGUAUAGCCGUGCGGCUAUACUGUUUAAAAAAUAUAGAUAUAUUACUUUUAUUCAAUAAUAUGUGAGAAUAUGUAUAUAAUACGUGAAUUUUGUGCGGCUAUACUAUAUAUAACAAAAUAUAGUAGAGGCGCGAGGCGUUACGUUUUUUAUUUUAUAAAUUGAAUUUAAUAUAUAGUAUACACGAGCGGCUAUAUUCUUUUACAUACGUGUUCAUAUAUAUGUACACACACACAUAUGUAGGUACGUAUUUUUCAACAAUACAUUCGUGUUCUAUACACGUCUCACGUUUUCUUUAAAAAGCAAACAUACAAUAGUCGUGUUGUACAUGUACGUACGUAUUUCUAAUAUUUUAUACUAGUAUUUUUUAUAAAAUUUUCAGUAACACACACAAAUUCACGUAUUAUGCCAAUAAUUCUCACGUAUUAUUGAAUAAGAAUAACAUAUGGUAUAAAAAUUAUAUUAAAAUAUCAAAUAGUGGAAUAUUCAUAUCUACUUUGGAUAUGUUGCAAAUUGAUAUCCAUAAGGUACAAACCAAUGCAACUAGGAGGGUCCUUUUUUGUAUUUUUAAAAUUUUUUAUUAUUUUUAAAAAAAAAGAAAAAAAAAGAGUACAGCCGCACGGCUAUACUCAGUUUUGAAAUUUUUAUUAAAAAGAAACUUGUUGACACGUGGGCAUAAUGGCUGGGGUUUUUUUAUAUAUUUAAAAACAGUAUAGCCGCACGGCUAUACUCUGUUUUGAAUUUUUUUUAAAGAAAUAUAUGUGUUGACACGUGGCCCCUAUUGGUUGGGGGACUUUUUUCACAUUUAAAAAUAGUAUAGCCGGGCGGCUAUACUCUGUUUUGAAAUUUUUUUUAUUAGAAAGGAAUGUGUUGACACGUGGGCAUAAUGGCUGGGGCUCUUUUUUUAUAUUUAAAAAUAGUAGAGCCGCACGGCUAUACGCGGUUUGGAAUUUUUUUAAAAGAAAUGUAUGUAUUGACACGUGGGCAUAAUGGCUGGGGUCUUUUUUUAUAUUUAAAAAUAGUAUAGCCGCUCGGCUAUACUCGGUUUUGAAUUUUUUUUAAAGAAAUAUAUGUGUUGACACGUGGGCAUAAUGGCUGGGGGUCUUUUUUUAUAUUUUAAAAAAGUAUAGCCGCACGGCUACACUCUGUUUUGAAUUUUUUUUAAAAAGACACGUGGCCCCUAUUGGUUGGGGGACUUUUUUUAUAUUUAAAAAUAGUCUAGCCGUGCCGCACGGCUAGACUAUUUCAUGGGGAAAAAAUAGUAUAGCAGCACGGCUAUACUAUGUUUGAAAACAAUUAAGAAAAACUGCGUAUAGCCGUGCGGCUAUACUGUUUAAAAAAUAUAGAUAUAUUACUUUUAUUCAAUAAUAUGUGAGAAUAUGUAUAUAAUACGUGAAUUUUGUGUGCCUUAUUGAAAUUUUUGUAAAAAAUACGCAUAUUAAACAUGAGAAAUACGUGCGGACGUGUAUAAUACAUUAUUAAACGUGAAAGUACCAAGAUCUUUAUACAUAUAAUAAUUUUGGAAAAGUAAAAAUUCGAAAAGGGACAAUAGUUACUCGAGUAAUGGCCUAAUAGUAACGGAUUGAGCUCUUGGGCUAUGGAGAAAUUUAAUUGAGACACCCAAACGAUUUCACAAAACACUUAAUAAAUAGAAAUUAAUUAUUUUGUGCACUUUUUCUUUAAUUUUUUUUUGCAUCAAAUAGUAAUUAAAAUAUAAUUACUAAUUAAAUUAAUUCAAAAAGGAUAAGAUAUUACUUAAUGAAAGAGGUAGGCCCAAAAAAAAAAGAGUAAAGAAACUAAUUUUAUAUUGUGAAGAUUUUUUAAAACCAAAACAAGAAAAGAUUUUCUUUUGAUAAAAAGUAUAGCCGAACGGCUAUACUAUUUAUAAUAUAAAAAGACGAGCCCAGCGCAUACGCGUCAAAAGGGUAGAGCCGCGCGGCUAUACGAUUUUUUGAAAAAAGGGGGGAAACGAGUAUAGCCGGUCGGCUAUACUAUUUCUUGAAAGAAAAAAAGGAAGAAGAAUCUGGUAUAGCCCGGCCCCAUCGCCCAUGCGCCACGUGUCAAAGAAAUAGAGCCGCACGGCUAUACUAUUUUUAAAAACAAUUAAGAAAAACUGAGAAUAGCCGUCCCGCUAUACUUUUUAAAAAAUACAGAUAUAUUACUUUUAUUCAAUAAUAUGAGAAUAUGUAUAUAAUACGUGAAUUUUGUGUGCCUUAUUGAAAUUUUUGUAAAAAACACGCGUAUUAAAGAUGAGAAAUACGUACGGACGUGUAUAAUACAUUAUUAAACAUGAAAUACCAAGAUCCUUAUACGUAUAAUAAUUCUGGAAAAGUAAAAAUUCGAAAAGGGACAAUAAUUGGUCGAGUAAUGGCCUAAUAGUAAUGGAUUGGGGUCUUGGGUUAUGGAGAAAUUUAAUCAAGACACCCAAACGAUUUCACAAAACCCUUAAUGAAUAGAAAUUAAUUAUUUUGUGCACUUUUUCUUUAAUUUUUUUGCAUCAAAUGCACUUGAAACACAAAACCAAGCAGAGAAAAUGCACUUGAAACACAAAACCAAGCAGAGAAAAUGGGUGGGUUUGGUCUUCAAAAUCUCUUUGCCUCAGAAUCUGACCAUAUGCCCUCACAAAAUUCCUUAUGCUGCUCAAAAUCUCUUUGCCUCAGAAGCCAUUUCUCUUGUUUUACAAGUAAAAAAUGAAGUAGAAAAGAAUAUUUGUGAGCUCUGUUUCUUCAGUUAAUUUCUCUCUUCUUGCAUAUUGGUCUAAACUUCUCAUAGGCACAAUAUUCUUGCAACCUUAACCCUUUCAUACCAUACCUUGCGAUUAACUACCUGGAUCGGUUCUUAUCCAAGCCAGAUAUUCUGGUGAUUAAAGAGCUUGAAGGUGUUCUUUAAUUUGGUGAAGGAGGCGACAGCUUGAGGGUUUUCUUUAAAGUCGGGAAAAAAAAAUGUAUAUUUAAAAAAAAAACCACCUGGACCCGCCUAGCUCCUAGGCGGGCGCCUAGGCUGAAUUUUUUUUAAAUUUUUCUGAUUCUACCGCAUUUAAUUUGUGGUGAUACACUGGAAUUGGCGUAAUUGUUUAUAGUUGGUGCUCUUCGUUUUGAAAUAUGAAGCGGACAAGUGUGGGACAAUUGUUAGAGUUGGCCUCCAUCUUCUCCUAUACAGAUUCUACAGGGACUAUAUAUGCGUUUCCUGCUAGAGGAAAUACCUUCUCAUUGUACAAUACCGCCAACAGUUUUUACCGGAGUAAUUAUUCCAAGUCAUUUCAACAAUAAGUGCAGUGAGACAUGAUUGCUUGGAAAAGGCUCUCCGAUAGAUGGAAGGAUGUCUCUUUCCCCAAGCCUCUGUAUCCACUUGUGCAUCCUGCUGUUUUGGUGGAAACUUAUGAACAAGGGGAAUGUGUCGAUGAUCUUCAAGGGCAUGAUCGGAUUAAAUCAAGAAAUCAAGGAGAGAGAGAGAGAUUUGAUUCUCCCUGAUUUCUUGUGGUUUAAUUAUUAGUAAGAGUUCAGAAGUUGUGGUCUUUGCUACUUUUCAGUAUGUUCUAAGUUAUCAGAAUUUCUUCUUUCAGGUGGACAACUUUAUUCAUGCAGACAUGGAUCCUGAAAAAUAUCCCUGUCCAGGUGGCUCAGAGCAAGUCUUCUCAGAAGCGACUCUUCAAAUCAAGGCCUCAUGUCAUUUUCCUUGAUUUAGGCAUGACUGCUAAACUCUCUAAAAGUGAUAGAGUAAAUUUAGUGGAAUUUUUCAAGGCUGUUGCUCUUCUUCGUGAUGGGCUUACUUCUGCUGAGUGCACACUCAGAAUAUCUAAGCAACACAAGUGCCCAGAUCCAAAGGCUUUCAUUGAGGUAAAAUCGUGAGGCAACUUAAAUUUAUUACUAGGAAUGAUUGGGAUAAGGUUGUAUGAUUUGAUUUUUCAAUAGGAACUUGGAAAUUCAUUAGUAAUUUUAUGUUUGUUUAUGAAACUCAACUCUCUUGAACCCUAAUUCACCUUCAAAGGUUUUGUCUUGUUAGAUUUUCCUUAACGGUUCUGGAGAUCUGUUGCAUUUAUCUUGUGUGGUUGUUCCUUAUUAAAUGACUUGCAAGUUUGAUAUUUGCCCUUUAAAUAUACAUUCCUCCUUUAUGCUAAGAUUACGCAAAGAAAGAAUUUCAUAUUAGAAUGCUUUUCAAUCCAACUUCCCCUGGUAAUACUUUCUUGUCUCAAAGCAUGAAUUUUGUCAAGCACAAUUGAAAUAUGUGAUAUACGUGUAGUAUUCACUCCUUUUUUGGUUUAUUCAUCAAUGUGUGUGUUGUUGUUGUAGACAAAUGCAGUUCCUCAAUGAUAUUAUGAACUCAGGAAGCUGUUGCUACAAGUUUCCCUCCUUAAUCUACAUUCUGUAUUUGAUUUUAGUCUAUAUUUGGCAAAAGUUUCUAAUCUUCUUCUUUUUAUAGCAAGGGGAGGCGGCAUUCACUUUCUGGGGUACUCCAGAAGGUGAUCAGCACAUCCUGCCCUUACUGGAGAAAUUUAGGCGUCAUAGAGUCAAUGUUGAUGGCAAUGUCUCUACUCACUGUCAUGGUAGCCACUUUGGUUCUUAAGGUAAUUUCUUUUUCCUUUAUCUACGGCAACUGAAGCAUGGAAAUUCUCUUAUGAAUUUCUGUAAUCUUUGCAAUAUAGGCAUGUGCAAUUUAUAGGAAACUCUUGUCCAUGUUGCAGAUCAACGUGAAUGAUUUUUCUUGAUGCCUACUUGUACUAUUUUUUAUGCCACUUUCCUGAUGUCUUUUGAUCAUUUCUUAUUCAUAUCUGUAUAUAUUUUUAGUUGAUGAGUAUCAUUUACAUUUAUACAUGAAAUCUAUUUCAAGUGUCAUGUCGUUUAUGGCUCAAAACAUCAACCCAGAGCCUUCGAUUGCUAAAUUUGGAGGAGUCAAAAAUUGUUUUUAGCAUAUUGUAAGAACUCUGAAAGUAACAUUUAGUCAUGUGUACUCCAUCAUUGUCUGAAAUGAACUGGAUUCCCGAAAGCCAGUCACGGAAGAUUUCAGAGAACCUUAGCUGCUAUUCUGCAAUAUGAGUUACCUCUCCUUGAUCUCUUAUACUAUAUCCAAACUUCGGACUGCUUUGUCCAACUGAAACUGAAACGGAUGAGAGGGAGUCAGUCAGGAUCAUCUCCACACUCUUAUACAGGCGUCUAUACGUAAACCCACGAGUCUGCAGAGCUUUAAGUUUCUUGCACUUUCUGACUUGUAAAUGAUGCAUUACAAUCUAGCCUUAGGGUUGAGAUUUGUAAAUAUAUAUAGACCAACAAACCCUGUUAGUUUUGCCUUGUCUAUUGGAUAGAGGAUUAUGUUUCAUCAAUGUAUAUGCUAAUGUCACUCCUUGUCAUACUUUUGGCUCUUCUGAGUUUUGUUUCUAAAUAGAUAGUUGACUUUGAGUGCAACAUGACUAAUUAUACGUUUAUAAAAAGUCUUGAUUUCCAGCCCUCCUGGCCAGGCUUUGCAAUCUGCAACUUUAUUUGAAAAAUCUGGCUACUUUUAUGACAACUUAAUUUGUCAACUAAGAAGCAACAAAAGGACGAAUAUGCAAUACCAGGGCUCUAAUAUGCACGAACCAAGCGUAAUAUUCUAAUCCUCUUGAUAAUAUGAUAGUAGCAGCUACGGUUAUUUUCAAUUUCGCAUCCUGCAGUUGUCCACUUAACCUCAAGGCAUGUGUUUGUCCCUGCAUUUUCAAUUUUGACAAUAAAGACCCUAUGUUUGUAAAUUUUUUGUAAUGUGACUAUGCCCUUAAGCUUGCUGUUAAGUGAUGAUUCGGCAUAUGUGGAACUCACUUUUUUAAUACUUAAUUGAUUAAAAUACUAUAAUAUAUAUAUAUAAACCCAAUUUAAAAAGGCUAAACUGUUGAUUUACCCCCUGAACUUGUACAUAACUUUCGAUUUAUCACCUAUUUCUCUUUCUUUUUAUUUUUUUUAAAAAAAAAGAAAAUUAAGGAUCUCAAUUAUUUUUUAGCCAAUUUCCCUUUACCAUUAAUUUUCCUCACAUUCCAUCAAUUUUUUCGUUAAAAAUAUCAUGUGCCAAGCAUGUGAGGCAAUUUGGUCAUUUUCCACCUUAACAAUAAUUAAAAUUUUGAGAAAAAAAAAGUAAAAAACAUAAAAUUAUAAUAAUUAAAAAACACAGAAAACCCUUUUCGUACCCCUCAGCCCCCUCCGACGCGGCUCCCUCCCUCCCAGAACUUCUCCACACCCCAACCAACCUGACACCACCCACCCACCCACCUCUUCCUGCUCGUUACACCCACCACAAAAAUCACAACCCCACCUUGUAAAAACUCAAAACAAAUCAAUACCCAACCCACAACAAAGAUUGAGAAAAAUACAAAGCAUUCCCUAACCCACAACAUCUCUAUUAUCUCUGUCAUUAUUUGUUUAUUUUAAUCGUUCUUUUCUUAAUUUUCAAUUAUAUUUUAAAUAUAUAUAUAUAUUUUUAGGGAACUUUGGUUUGUAGUCAAUAGGUCGUUCAUUUUUUUAAAGACAUUUCCUAUUGAGGAAGUAAUUGUUCCAAAUCACUACACUAGUAGAUCAUUUACACUAUUUUAAGCAAUUAAGUAUAAAAGCAGAUAGUUUUCCCCUCAUUAAUCACAUGUGCAAAAACUUGGGUAACCUCAGUAGUAUUGAGGUUUGGGAUAAAUAAAAAAUAGUAUUGAGGUUGAAUUUAAAAAAAAAAAAAAAAAGGGUAAUAUCCUUUUUGUGACACUUCUUCAUUUUUCCAAUAGGUGAUUACAAUAACAAAUACGUGAUUGGUUAAAUAGUGAGAGCAAUUGAAUAAAAAUAAUGUAAUCAAUUUUAUAAGAAAAUUAAAGCAUGGAAACAUAAAAUCCCAGCAGGUGGUGGUGUGGCCUGUGCCCUAAUUCCUUAAAACUACUCUCUACCUGCCAUAUAUCCCAAAAACCAAACUUGCUACUAAUACUACUAUAGUCUACUACUACUUUCCAUUCCUUGUGAUUAAUUAAUUGAUGCGUGAUUGUUCUUCAACCUUCAAGCGAUCCAUCAGCUUUUCAAGAGACAGAUGCUCCUCCUCAUCCUCACGCAUCAACUUGAUGCGCACAUCCUCCCAAGAGGGGGGGAGUUUGGAGAUGAUUGUAUUCACAUGAAAUUCCUCGUCUAUCGCCAUUUCUUCACAUUUAACCAGUUCUUUGAACCUUGCAUUCAGUUCUUCAACUUGCUGCUCCACCAUUGGUUCCUCUUCAAGGAAAUGAUAUUCCAGGUAAUCUGGAACGCAAGAAUUGUGUUCUCCAAACCUCGAUUGUAGCUCCUGCCACAGUUGCUUAGCACUUGUUUUCUUCCCCCUCUUUGAGUAAUGAAGGAAGAGAUCAUCAGAUAGAUGGUUCAAGAUUGUAUGAAAACACAGGGAGUCAUUCUUGUUUCAUAUCUCUUCAGCAGCCCUUGAUAUAGCAAUUUCUUCAACACUUGCUUCAGUUUUUACCAAAAAUCUUGGGCAUGGCGCAUAGAGCACACGUGUAAGACUAUUAUCUAGGACGUAGGAAUGCAUUCUAUAACUCCAAAUAUUGUAGUUCUUCCCAUCCAAACGAAUAUUGUCGACGGCAACAAUUACUUCAUCAUUAGUAGAACAUGAACAUGACAACACAACAAGAAUAGACAAGCCAAAAUCAUCACAAGCUCUAGAUUUCAGAUUCGGUACCUACAAAAUCUAUUAGGGGGUGAGCGAAACCACAGCUCAGUAGGGACAUAAACCUUUUCACGGUAAAUUGAUAUAAUUAAAUUAAGUGACAAAUAAUUACGCAGCCAAAUUUCACAUUAUUAAUAACAGUGCAUGAAUGCUCUUCAUCUAAUCCUGUUAAUUCAUAUAACUAGACAAGCAGACCUGCACGUCCCAUACCAUGCUUAUACCACUUGGUCCCGAAUGCCCAUUUAUAUGAACUAACACCCAUUUCAAUCAUCCCAUAAUUUCCCUUUUGUUAGUCAUCUUGUCUAACUCCCUUUCGUCAGUCCCGAAUCACCCAAUAGAAAUCAUGUGCACUGUGGGAUCCCUGAGACCUGGUACUUGCCAAGAGUUAGACUCAACUACACAAAAGACCAUUCCCAUUACCCUUUUUUUUUCCACCAUUAUUUUCUCAACCCAAGAACUCCAAGUAAUUUCCAUGACAUUAUAUAGUUCUUUUGUUCACAUAUCUCAUAAAAAUAAUGUAAUCAUUUAAAUAUCACCAAUGUACAUAUCAUCAUGCCCACAUUGUUCAAACAGUUAAGAUUACAUAAACACCCAAUACAAGGAACGUAAAUCAAACAGUACCAGUCAUAACAUAAUGCUCACGAAAUUUAAUUAGAUCAAUCUCUACAAAAAGGUCCCCAAGAAACCCUCUACCUUGAUUCUAAUGUAAGAUAACUCUACAAUCCAACACCUUGAGUUCCUCGAAAGUCUGUCUUGUUCUACCAACACUAAAUAUUUUUCCUCUUCUUUCUUCUUUUUAUCACUUUCUUGUUCUAACAUGCACUACCAUGUAUGUCGUUCAAACAAUCAAAGCAAAUGGUUCCUAUUUAUAGUAGUUAAAAGGCGGCAACUAGUUGAUUUUAAUUGGUGAAGGGAUAUGUGGCUUAACAUAUAAAACUUUUGCUCCAAGUUUCACCAGCUCAUGCUUACAAAAGGAUUAGUCAUCAUAAAUAAUGACACUUGUAAGGCAAAGUGAAAUAGUAAAUUGCAAACAAUAAAAAUUUAGCUUAAAUGAUUUGCACGUCAAAAACCAAGUAAGGAAAAACUGCCACAUGUUAUCUAAACAUUCAACUCUAUCUAAAAUCCAUUCCUCCUAGUCUUUUAGAUUUUUACCAAAAAACAUUAUCAUGCAAGAGGUGUUGUAAAUGGAAUAGGAUUAGUGAACGACACAUGAAUAACAAACCAAAUAAACUAAAUAUUAUCAUAAACAUAGAAAUAUAUAAGUAUUAUUAUAAUAGUACAGUCCUGAUCUCUUGGACCCUGUAGUCCAAGAGAUUUGUGGUCACUCACCGUUGGAUGUAAAUUCAACGGUUCACUCACUCUUGCACUCUUUUUUAAAAACUUUUUUGAACCAUUGGAUUAAUAUCCAACGGUGGGUGACCACAAUCUCUUGAACUCCUGUGGUCCAAGAGAUCGGGACUGUAUAAUAGUAUUCAUAAUAAUUAGUAUAAAAGUAUAACAACAAUAUUUACAUAUAUGUACCAAGAUAAUUACACAUAUAAAUAUAACCAAUAUAUAUUUAUAUAUAUUUUAAAAUACGGGUCUUCACAUCUAUAGCCUUUUAUAAAAAUAAAAAAAUAAAAAAGGGGGUAAAUCUUGAGAUUUUCACUUUUUGACAGUUAUUAUUCUUUUAUCCAAUAUCUGUUAUUCAGUAGGUGAUUACAAAUAUAUGUUAUUAUUAAAAUAAAUAGUCAGAACAAUUGAAUAUAAAAAGAGUAAUCAAUUUUAAAAUAAAACAUGUCCAAGCUAAAAAAAACUACUAGUUUCCUUUCCUUCCUUUUGAUUAGUUAAUUCAACCUUCAAGAGAGAUCUAUAUCACUCAUUAACAAGGAAUUCCUCAUAUGUCGGCCAUUUUGUGAAAAGAAAGCAGAUCUUUGAACCUUGAAUUCAUUUCUUCAACUUGCUUCACCAUCGGUUUUUCUUCGAGCAAAUGACAUUCCAUGUCCUUUCGAACCCGAGAUUUGCGUCCUCCAAACCUCGAAUUUAGCUCACGCCACAGUCGCUUAGCAAUUGUUUUCUUACUCCUCUUUGAGUAAUGAAGGGAGAGAUCAUUAUCAGAUGGAUGGUUCAAGAUUGUAUGAAAACGCAAGGAGUCAUCAUUGUUCCAUAUCUCUUUGUUGUUUUUGAUGUUGUGAAACUGUGGGUUGUCCAAGUUCAGAUUCUUUUGAAUAUCAAGACGGAUCUGUAAGAACUCUAGUUGAGCUUGCAUCUAUUUAGAAGUCUUAGAUAACCAAGAAUACAAGGAAAACAAGAACUCAACUAGCCGGUUAUUACUUGUAUAUAAAGAUAAGUUCUAUAUCAAGAUGGAAUGCCUAUUAUAUUAGGUUUUGGAUACAAGAGGUGAUAAGGAUAGACUUUGAGGAUUCCUUUAUGGGCAAGGAACUGAGAGAUCUUCACCGUAUAAAAGCUAGGGUUCGGUUCCCCGGACAUGAAUUGCUGUUAUGGCUUCUAUAUACUGAUUUGAGUGUCCAAAUGAAUUGUAAUUUCCUAAAGGCAAAGACAAAGUCACUAACUAGUGCACUUCAAUAAACAACUCACAUAGAACGGAACUAAAAAAGAGAGUAACCAAACAUAGGAAUAAGGGUUUCACCUUCGUCUCCUCCUUCCAUCUCCAUACUUUAAAUUUUAGAAAUUCCAGUCAUGUUGUUUGCUAAUUUGUUUGUCUUUGAUAAAAUAAACUAAAAACUGUAAUAAUUUCUUACAUGGAAUAAAAACAAAAACAAAAACCUCCGAUGUGUUCAUAGGCAAACGUACUCUUCUUCAACCCUCAAACUAUCCAUCAACACUUCUAAAGUCAACGGCUUCUCCUUCCCCGUCAAUGACUUGAUGUUUGAGUACUUCCAAGAGGCAGGGAGCUUGGCUAAGAUGGCAGAGACAUGAAAUUUCUCACUCAACGUCAUUCCAGAAGCCACAACGUCAUCGAAAAUGCGAUUGAAUUCUUGAACUUGCUCCACAACUGUCUUCUCAUCAACCAUCUGAAAUUCCAUGUACUUUCUAACCAGAGAUCUCUUUGUUCCGAACAUUAAUUUUAGAUCGUCCCACAGUUGUUUAGCAGUUGUAGUUUUCUUUCUCUUUGCGUAACGAUGGAGGAGAUCAUCACAUAGAUAGUUCAAGAUGGUGCGAAGGCACAUAAAGUCAUCCUUGAUCCAUUUCUCUUCAGCAGCCUUCGAUUCAGCAAUUUCUUCAGUAGUUGCUUCAGAUCCUAGCAUAAUGCCAGGGCAUGGCUCAUAGAGUACAUAUUCAACUUUUAAUUCCUUGAGGAAAAACUCCAUUCGCCGUGCCCAGAUCGUGUAGUUCUUCCCAUCAAGACGAACGGGGUCAAUGGGAACAAGUUCUUGAGGAGCAAGACCAGUCACUGUUGAAUUAGACAUGCCAUCUUCGGUUUGCUCAUUGUCAUGCUCAGAUCUCAACUUUGACUCAAUCUUGGCGACCUCAUGUAUGUCUUGGGUCCAUGGGCCCUCUCUUUGAAGGCUUUCCAAAUUACUGAAAACAUAGCAUCAAUACAAAUCACUUGAAAUUAAUCCAACCAAUGCUCAUUUAACUGUUAGAAAGUAUAAGAGAGAAGGCCAACCAAACAACUUAUUAAUGUCUUGAACACACUCAGGUCAUAUGGGAAUGCAUAUACAGGGAAAGAGAUCAUUAAAUAAAAUUAAACAGUAAUUCAUACACAUUUCUAACCUAAACCAGGGCCAGGAGUCAGUAAAUUGCCAUGAGAAAAUAAUAAGAUCAAUAAAUAAGAUAAAUUGGUGUAUGGUACCAUAAGCAGAAACCAGCUUUCCAUCUCUUCCUUCAAAUUUUUCUUCAAAUUCCGCCAACAAUGUCAUUCUCUUCUUUGGUAUUGGUACCUAAUAAAACAAAAGAAUUAAUUUAGAUCAGAAGCCCACAAAUUUAUACACCAAAAAGUUCUGGAAUUCGUAUAUAAUUUCUAUUAAUAUAAUCCCAUAAAAAUCUAAGUUUCUCUUGUUUUUGCCUGCAAUUGUUCAUCCAUCAAACAGAAUCCAGAGCCGAGGGCUUUAGAAACCUAACAAAGUACUUAUUUUUAUUGCUUAAAAAAGAAGAAGAAAACCUAAUUGUGUAACUCACUAAACACUCAUACAAAGAAACCUAUAUAUUAUUGAAGAAUUCAAUUUUCUUUCCGUUUCCUACACUUUCUAAGUAACCAAACGUAGAAAUUAGGUUUUCACCUUCGUCUCCUUCAGCCCUUCUCCACCAUUCCGGCCCAUAGCAGACGGAUCGAUUACGAGUCGCUCGGAGUCCAUGUCUCCGACUGUUUUUAUGCUUUGAAAAGUCUGAAACUAUUAUACUCUUUUAUUUAUUAUAUUCUAAAGGUUGGUGAUAUUCAAAUUCUACUUUCAAGUUUUCAUUAAUUUCUAAAGGUUGGUGGUAUUUUAGUCAAAUUCUACUUCAGUCCCUAUAAUUUAAAUUCUGAACAUGUCGUUUGUUAAAUUUAAUCCAAACUAGCCGAGCGUGUGCCAAUUGGUUUUAUUUUAUUUUUUAAUUUUAUUUUUAGUAUUAAGAAAAGAUAACAUGGGUAGUUAUGUUUCAUAAAGUAUGACUUAUUAUCUGAUUUUGUUUUUAUUUUUAAUUUUUUAAUAUAAAAAUGUGAAUUUGCCAUAUUAUCUUCAUUUAAUUAAUAAUUUCAAUUCUUAAUGUUUGAAUUAACCAAUGACAAUUUCUAGUAUUUUGAAUGUUUCAUCAUUUUCUACCUUUUGCUUUAUAUAUAGAUUACAAAUCUCACCAAUUUUAUAGACACAAAUUUGAUGUGAAUGUGGCAACGUGCUAUUUUCUUGUAGACCAUGUCAAAUCUAAAUGUAAGCUACAUGCGUCAAAUGCCUAUUUCUAAAGCUUGGUUCGUGUAGAUUGGUCACUUGGAAAACUUCAAACUGUGAAUCAGAUCGAAUCAGCCAAUUCGGUCUGGUUUGACACCAAAAUUAAAUAAAGAGAUAAUAAAAAGUCAAACCAAACCAACUCAAUCGAUUUGGUUUGGCCUGAUUGCCAAUUUUUCGAGUUUUCGGUUUGAUAUUUUCUUUGUCUUCUAUGUUCUUUGUAUUUAAAAUGAAUCAUAUUCUAUAACCAUAAAAAUGAGAAAUACGGAAUAUUAAAAUGGCUAGUUUUGUUGGUUGUCUUCAUAUUUCUCUUGGAUUUGAUUUAAUAUCUUCUUGAGUUUGAUUUAAUUUAUUUUCUAUUUGUGGGUUUGAUUUAAUUUGUUUUGUGAUUUCUGCAAUUUGAUUAUGGGUUUGAUAUUGCAAAAGCGUAGAAGAAGAAUGGAGAAAAGGGGAUUUGACGGGGAAAGGAGGAAGAUUGGCGUGAGUUUGUUGCAGAUAAUAAGAUGUUAGUUGCAGAUAUAAGGAAGCAGAAGUGAUUGGUUAUCUUUGGAAUUAAGCAAACACAGGAAAUAGAGGAAGAGCAAAGGUGCAGGUAGGGGCGAUGGAAGGGGAGACUGAGAUGGAAAAGUUACAAUAAUAAGGUGCAAAAGUGGGAGACUUUGUCUAAUACAAUUAUAUUGACGUAUACUAAUUAAAAUUCGUUAUAUUAAUCAAAUAAUUAAAUUUUACUUAAAUACAUCGAUGCUAAAUGCAAAUGCUCAAAAUCUCAUUCGUAUUUGGUUUGAGGGUUGGUCAAGGGCCUACAGCACAGUUGAGAAAAUAGGAACCUAAAAAUAAUCAAAUAUGAAAGUGAUUAGAUGCCACCAGACUCCACAAGAUGGACCUACUGAAAAUGAAUUGAAUAUGAUUCUCCUCUCUAUGAAAAAAUAAUAACAUCCCACCAAUAAACUUAGCAUAAAAAGGAAGAGGGGAAUCUAUUCCCAUAUUCCAAUUCCAACUCCAAUUUCCAAUUUCCAGCUUCCAAAACUCCAUUGUCUCUCUCUCUCUCUCUCUCUCUCUCUCUCUCACUGAGACUAAUAUUCAAUCAAUCCGAGCCGUCCAAACAACUUGAUCCAACGAUGGAGAGCAACAACUGCAUGUCCGUGCUGUCGUGUGUGGGCACCAACGUCGCCUCAGCCUUCUUCGCCUCACUGGAACGCUGCUCCUGCAUCAACCUCAACACCACCGAUUUCGACGACGACAAUCACGCCAUCAACGACGACGACGGCCGCCCUCUUUUCCUCACCUCCUCCAGGCCCACAGCGGCCCACCAAGCCCAGCCCAUCAUCGACCCCAAUCAGCCCAUCAACAAGCCCGCCGCCGCCGCCACCCACCACCUCAACAACGGCGUUUCAGCUUGAUUGGCUGCUGCAGUCCACACGCAGCCUCCGCUCACGGUGAUUUUACCAUACACUCAACUCAACUCAAGAAGAAGAUAGAAAUUUCACUGCUUUUUAGCUUUAUGUUUAGCUUGUGUAUUGUAUGGUCUUGGUUUGUAUCUGUAAUUUGUGUCCAUGCGCGUUGAAAUUGUAAUUGGAUUUCGUAGGCCACUUUUUGCUUGUGAAAUGAAUUGGGAAUUUUGUAAAUUCUGUUGAUAGAGUUCGAAAAGGGGGAAGUUUUGCUUUCGUGUCAACGUACAACCUUCACUGCGUAGCGUACAACUACCUUAUGCAUGUAGAUGUAGUGCUCCAACAUUUCUUGUUAUACUUUAAUUGUAGUUUUAAAGUGCUCAUUAUCUUUCUGAAACUCUGUUUGAUAAUUUGAUUCAUAUGCAGUCAUUGGAUGCUACAUUUCUGCUAAAAUCAGUGUUUUUUUUCUUUUGAUGCUAAAAUUUCAGUUAUGGUUUCGCUGUAACGUAUAGUUUGGUGAGACUAGGCAAGAACCAACCUCGUGCAGUCAAUGCCAAUUGUCCAAGUCCUGGUAUUGGUUUACGUCACUUUAGCUUGAAAAUGGCAUUGACAACUCACUUUCACUCACACAGCAGUCGGUGGAUUUUGUUCAAUAGUGUACUCAAUUGUUUAAUGCUUCUUGAAGCCUCUGGUGUUUGGAGUUACCCUGCUACUUGGUAUACUCUAGGCAUGUAGAAAGGAAAGAAAAUCUUACUGGUCACCUGCAUUUGGAUGAAGAAUUUGUGUUUUUUCAUUGUUUGAAUUGAUAAAAAUCAUACUGAAUUUCCUUUGUGUUAUAAUUGGUUGCUUCUGAGUUUAUCGAAGCGUUAUCGUCUAGCUUGGACCUUGGGAAGUUUUGGCAUUUGUCUUAGUGGUUUCUUAUGUUUCUGGUCAUUUAAACCAAGCAUUUGCAUCACAAGCUAAACAUCUCAUGGAUGUAUAUAAUAUAUGUGCAUUGUAAUUGACACUCUUUGUGAGUGGUUGGAUGCUGC
rnacentral:lncRNA from 1 species